rnacentral:lncRNA from 1 species
CCUCCUCCAUAUGCAAGAAAAUUUUGUUGCGACGACUCCGAAUAUUAUCUUGAAUUUCCUGCAGCUCCAUUGUGGCAAAAUCCUGCACUGUUUCAGGCCCCUCUAUGAUACAAAAUCUGCACCAUUAAGCAUGUAAAAAUUAAAAAUUACAGGCUACAAAGCAAUUUCCGUAUAGUUGUUGGGUUAAAUAACAUCAACAGCAAAUAAAUCACAUAGGUUUUUCACAUAAAGUUACAAACUUUCAAGGACUAAUAAGCUGUCUGCAAUCUCAUAAAUUUCACAGUGCAAAGUAACAAUCCAAAGCUUGGAACUUUAAAUUUCCACCUUCUGUUAAUUUUUUAGUGCACCUGGUGUCGUUAGAUUCGAGUAGUAUGUCACAUUAAAUUUUUUUUUUCUGUGCAUGCAUUUUUUUUUAAAAGAAAAUUUUAUAUUGUUAAAGAGCGAGUUCGAAACUAUUACAUUAUGGAAGGACAUAGUACCGAAACUCCGACGAUCAAAAACAAAAUCAUGUACAACCACUCCAAGCAGUCAACAUGGCCAUCACAUAUUGAAUCCAAAAUGUUGACGCCCCAUUCGCUGCAUAUAAUGUACAGACGAGCGGCAGCUUCAACCAGUUCUGCCAUAUCCGGCUGGAUGAGAGCAGCUAAAGACAUGAUUGUUCCCUAAUAACAUGAAUAAAUUGAGUAAACACCAAAAGUAGCAGCAAGGGAAGGAGAUGUGAAGUAUAUGAAGAGGUGUAAGACCUGUGAAUGUCCAGCAACAAAGAUUUUGGAGCUUGUUGUCGAAUAAUGCAACGCAUCAUUUCUGGUAGAUCAAAUAGAGCCAAUUCCCGCCAACUCCAAUUCCAAAAUUUCUACAGUAAAGCAUAAAUCUUAUUCUCUCUUCUGAUAAAGAUGAGUGUCCCAGACUCCAACGUGUUCCACACACAUUCCCUACCCAUACAUCGAAACCUUCAUCUGCAAGGACGAAUCCCAGCGAUUCUUCUGGAGAAUUUAAGAAUCAUGCAUCACCUGGUUAAGAUCAAGAAAAGCCAGUAACCAAGUUCAAUUGAGUUAAAAUGUAUCCCAUGGAUGUUCAUCACUUUGCCCAAUUGUUCUUUUCAAGAAAGGAAAUUUCAACAGAACCUGAAAACUUCAGAUCAGGGGGCACCAAAUAGUGAGCUAUACAUUCAAAAUUUGAAAUAAUCAACUUAGUAGGACCAGUAUGUUGAAAAAAUGGGAAGGAGCUAUGAAAGUAAGACUUUUCACUAAUCAGGCGUCCAGAGAAUCCAUAUUUUACCCGCGUAUCAGUUACGGGGAACACUCCCCACCAGAGCAAUCUCAUUAGUCCUUCACAUCUCAACCGUACAGAAGUUGCACUAACAAACAUGACUCCUAUUAGUCCUUCACAUCUCAAAUCCAGGAAGUACCCAUCUUUCGUCUGAAUCUGGAAAAUAAGCAGCAGUCAAUUUAACAAUCUCGGUAUCUCAAAGUUACUCACUUUAAUCACAAAUUUAGCAAUUAAACAUAUAAAUGGGCAUUUUUUUAGGGAAAUAUUAGUAUAGUACUCACUGUGUGCUCGGAGCAAGAGUACCCAGAAAGCUCAAUGAGCUGCGCACAGAGGACUGCAGUGGUGAACGACAGCGACCAAUUCUGUAAAAUUUAGUCGAGUUUUGGGAAAUUUCUGCAGCGAUUUCGGAGGUCAAGAGGCUGAUAAGGAAAGCCGCGACCAAAGGGCACUGGUCUGGAAGAAAGGCUUUGGUCGCCGCUAUCGCAAUUCGCGAAGGAAGAAGUGCCCCAAAACAAUUUCGGCCCUGGACAGGUGCACUGUUUGCACUGAGCCAGGGCCGGCCCUGAAUCGCGAUAACGUCCUUCUCCAAACAGUAUAUAUACAGAUGCUAGAAAAAUCUACCGGAACUAUUCAAUUCUAGCGUCUACAGCUUUAGCAUUAGUUGGUACAAGGGGCAUUCUUCCAAAGAGGGAGAUGAAAUCGUUGAGGCACCAAAUAGUGAGCUAUACAUUCAAAAUUUGAAAUAAUCAACAUGGUAGGACCAAUAUGUUGAAAAAAUUGGAAGGAGCUAUGAAAGUAUGGCUUUUCACUAAUCAGGCGUCCACAUAAUCAAUAUUUUACUCACAGAUCAUUUACGGGGAACACUCCCCACCAAAACAAUCUUUUUAGUCCCUCACAUCUCAAACCAAGUAGAAAUUGCAGUAACAAACACAUCUCAAACCCAGUAAGUACCCAUCUUUCGUCUGAAUCUGGAAAACAAGCAGCAGUGGAUUCAACAAUCUGGGUAUCUCAAAGUCACUCACUUUAAUCACAAAAUUAACAAUUAAACAUAUAAAUGGGCAUUUAUUUAGUGAAAUAUUAGUAUAGUACUCACUGUGUGCUCGGAGCAAGAGUACCCAGAAAGCUCAAUGAGCUGCGCACAGAGGGACUGCAGCGGUGACGACGGCAACCGAUUCUGUAAAAUUCAGUCGAGUUUUGGGCGAUUUCUGCAGCGAUUUCGGAGGUCAAGAGGCUGAUAAGGAAAGCUGGGACGGAAGGGCACUGGUCUGGAAGAAAGGCUCAGGACACCGCUGUCCCGAUUCAUGAAGGAAGAAGUGCCCCCAAAACAAUUUCGGCUCUGGACAGGUGUACUGUUUGCACUGGACCAGGGUCGGCCCUGGCGAUAACGUCCCCCAAACAGCACAUAUACAGAUGCUAGAAAUAUAUAAAUGUAACCUGAAACUACUAGAACCAUUCAAUUCUAGCGUCUACAGCUUUAGCAUUAGUUGGUACAAGGGACAUUCUUCCAAAGAGGGAGAUGAACUCAUUGAGGCUCUUAUUUAUUCCUCCUCUUGAUGUGCCCUUUUAGGCUGCUAAUUCCACACGAUCCAAUUUCAUACAUCUUCCCUGCAAAAGCAUGUGUGCCUGACUUCAAGAUCAAAUUUUUCCAACAAAAGAAACUUAAAGAUCAAACUCGCUAGCGGAAUAAGUGGUGCACAAGGGUGUUAAAAUCUUGACAUAUGUAUAUUUUUGGCAGAUUUUAUGUGAGCAUGCAACUAAAACUGGCAUCACUAUCAAUGGUGCACAAAGAUUGGUGGAAAACUUUAACAGUUUGAGUUGUAACUUCUCCAUUGUAUUUGUUAAGGCAAGACGGAUGUCAUCUAUUCAUUUUUCUGUAAAACUUAAAAGGCUGCAUAGCAGCUCUUGUUCGUUGUAUUGAAUACCAUGGUUUUACUGAUGAAUGCAGAGUUUGCUGAUGAUUCAUACGACAAGCAAUUGAAAAUCCCAUCAUUAUGCCCCGCAUAUACCAGAAGAAAAAAAAGUCAUUUACACAAAUUCAGAGCGUUCAUCCACUGUAAUUUGCAGAUAUGGAAACGUUAAGAUAAAAGGAAAUGCAAAGUACCUUUCACCCAAAUUGGAGGAGCAACGGUGGCAUUAGCAAGCUAGCAACGGGAAUUGACAUACCAAUAUCUUCACAGUUUCUGCACAAGAACAAAUCAAAAGAAUCCGGCGGUGGAGUUAUGUACCUCUCCUUGGAAAAUGCCACCUCCUGGGAUUUCAAAAUAUACGGCCGUGGCUAGCCGUCUGACCACGCCAAUUCCACCAAAGCCGCCGCAACGUGGCGUAGUGUCCGGUUGAUUGCUUCAAAACAGAGCUUCGUAUCCAUGUGUUUAUCAGCAGAGAGUACCCAAAACCCCUGAAAAUUAUUUCUUUAUUCAGAUAAUAAAAUUUCCCAAAUUUCGAAUUUUAAUUCCGAACAAAAAAAAUAGGGUUUGAAUUUUGAUUACCUAGAAAUUGGGGGGUUGGGGUGGAGAGGGACUCGGGCCAAGACACAGAUAUGCAUCCGUGAUAAGGUGUGCAAGGCUUUUGCAGUUUCUCAGAUCUAAACACUGAAGCCCCGUAAGCCGUUCAAUCCAGGGGGAAAGCUCUUUAAUAGAUGUUCCAUCCAAGAAAAGAAAUCUUAAUCCUUCCAUAUUUUCUUCAAUGCUUGGAAACACCUCAAAUUUUGUACAACCGGAAAGAGAGAGAAAGGCAAGGGACUUCAGCUGACAAAUGCUACUUGGAAGACUCUUAAGUUCUUUACAAUUUUCUAGCUUCAAAUGAUUCAAUCCCAUGAGAUUAUUAAUUGAUAAGGGCAGUUCUUUAAUUUUCGACCCAGAUAAAUCAAGAACUUUUAACCCCUCAAUCACUUCUGAAAUCUCUGGAAACAUCUCAAGACUCCAGCAACCAUAAAGAUCAAAGGUUUUGAGAGAUUUCAUAUGAAUGCUGCUUGGAAGACUCUUAAGUUCCUUGCAAUCUUGUAGAUUCAAAUGACACAACCUCGUAAGAUUAUUAAUUGACGGGGACAGUUCUUUAAUUUUUGAGCAGGGUAAAUCAAGCUUUUCUAACCCCUCAAUACCUUCUGAAAUCGAUGGAAACAUCUCAAGACUGGAGCAGCCAUAAAGAUUAAAGGUUUUCAGACAUUUCAUAUGAAUGCAGCUUGGAAGACUCUUAAGUUUCUUGCAAUCUUUUAGGUUGAAAUGACUCAACCCCGUGAGAUUAUUAAUUGACAGGGGCAGUUCUUUAAUUUUGGACCCGGAUAAAUUAAGCUCUUCUAACUCCUCCAUACCUUCUGAAAUCUCUGGAAACAUCUCAAGACUGGAGCAGCCAGAAAGAUUAAAGGUUUUGAGAGAUCUCAUACGAAUUUUGCUGGGUAGAAUCUUAAGUUCCUUGCAAUUUGAUAGGUUCAAAUGACACAACCCCAUGAGAUUAUUAAUUGACUCGGGCAGUUCUUUAAUUUUGGACUCGGAUAAAUUAAGCUCUUCUAACUCCUCCAUACCUUCUGAAAUCUCUGGAAACAUCAGAAGACUGGAGCAGCCAAAAAGAUUAAAGGUUUUGAGAGAUCUCAUACGAAUUUUGCUAGGUAGAAUCUUAAGUUCCUUGCAAUUUGAUAGGUUGAAAUGACUCAACCCCAUGAGAUUGUUAAUUGACUCGGACAGUUCUUUAAUUUUGGACCCGGAUAAAUCAAGCUCUUCUAACCCCUCAAUCACUUCUAAAAUCUCUGGAAACAUCUCAAGGCUCACGCAGUUAAUAAGAUCAAGAGUUUUGAGAGAUUGCAUACGAAUUUUACUAGGUAGAAUCUUAAGUUUUUCGCACCCAUUCAGAUCCAAUAAAACAAGUUUUGUAAGAUUCGAAAUAGAUGGGUGAACCUUAACUAACCCUAUACAACCAUGAAGAAUUAGCCUCUCAAGAUUUGGCACAUUUGUGAAGUCAGGGGUUUCCUUAAGGUAUUCACAAUAACUUAAAUUGAUGAAUUUCAACUUUUCCUGCGUCUGUUAAAACAUUCAGGAAAACAUGCAUUACUUAAUAAGACAUCUCACUCAAAGCCCAAACAUUUAAAAGAAACAAAUACAUGUAAAUGAUUGUACAUACCUGGGUUCCUUCCCAAAGUCGGUCAAUGUGGCUAUAUUGCAUGUCAAGUCCAACAAGAUUUUCGAAUUGAAAGUUGGAUGGCAAAGACUUGAGCGGGAAACAAGACCAGGAAAGAAACCUCAACUCACUAGAAACAAACUUUAAGGACCCAGUCAGGUGUUGUAUGCUGAAAGUACCGAUCUUGAGAAGUCUUAGUUUAGUCAUCCUAUCAAAAGCUUUAACAAUUAAGCAUCCCUCAUAUGAGUGCCCCAAAUCUAGGAUUAUGCUUUCAACUGUUUCUGUACCCUGUGCAAAUCAAAGGGAAGGAAAAAGCAGAGAACCUUAGUUUAGAUUAUGAAGUUAAUGCUUGUUUCUUAAGGAGUUGUUUGAUAAUAAUUUUGUUUUCACUUUUCACUUUUGUUUUGAUUAUUUAUUUAGAAAUCUGAAAAUUGAAAACAUAUAACUUGUUUGUAAUUGUUUUCAAUUUUCAAUUAUUAAAAAAAUGAAAAUUUAAAAAUAUAAAUGGAAACAAAAGUGGUUAUCAAACGAGCUUAAGAAAUUGAUUUUGGUCAAAAGUUGAAGCUUUCUACUAAACAUUGCAUAAGAAAAGAAAUUAUCACCGUAUUUUUAGUUAUCACAUGAAAAACAUCUUCAUAACUCCACAACCUACUUCGUCUCCCAGGCUCUUUGAUAGAUUCUUGGUAGACGAUUUUCUGACCCAUUUCCUCUAGUAAAUCAUGCAUCUCCAGUUCCCCCCUCCAUGAGACAGUUACUAGAGCUCGAUCGAUUAGAACUUUUAUUCCAAUAUCAGGAUAGGAACCACAGCUGUGCAGAACUGUGGUUGCAUAGUCUUUUCUCAUUCCUUUAAAGAAACAUGCAAUAUCUAGAAAGAUAUCCUUCUCCGUGUCAUCUAGUCCAUCGAAGCUUGUUUUAAGCACAUCAUGAAUUCCCUUUUGCGGGAUUUUCUUUAUUUUUUCUAACUCAUUUUCCCACUGGCGUACAUUUUUGUUAUAAAGAAAAGCUCCCAAGACUUUGAGUGCUAAAGGCAGACCUUGAGCAUAAUUUACAGCACGACUCGAGAUCAUCAUAAUCUCUGUUGGGUUGGUUUUUUCUAAAGGCGUACCGCCUAAAGAGUUCCAGAGCUCCAUAAUCACUUAAAAUCUUGGGAUUAUAUAUCCCAUCAGCUAUGCUUAGUAAUUGCGAAUCUCUGGUUGUUAUAAUAAUUCUGCUUCCACCACCAAAGGAAUGUGGCUCUCCAAGUAAAGCUUCAAUUUGUUCUAAUUCUUCCACAUCAUCAACAACAAUAAGAACUUUUCUCCGACCUAGACUAUUUAACAUCACCUGGAAACCUUUAUUCGAAACGUCGGAACUCCCCACCCUGUUGUUCGAGAUACUCGAUAGAAGUUCUGCCUGCAUAUGUAGUUUGCCAUGCUUCAUGAAACCUUCCUUGAAAUUUUCAAGAAAGCAACAAGCUUUAAAUCCACCAGAGAUUUCAUUAUAAAUAGCUCUAGCGAUGGUUGUUUUGCCUAAACCACCCAUACCCCAUAUUCCAACAAUGCGAACAUCAUUAGUUUCAACUCCAGGAGGAUGCAGUAAUGAAUGCAUGUUAUGCAUAUGAGAGUCCAUUUCAACCAAGCCAUUAUAUUUGCUUGAGGAUGAUGAGAUGUAUCGCCGACCCCACUUAGUGGGAAAAGGCUUUGUUGUUGUUGUUGUUGAUGAUGAUGAUGAGAUGUGGAUCAAUUUCUUAAAAACAUCUUCUACAAUUUUCUCAAUAAGCUCUGCAUCAUCCCUGUCAAAUUUAAAACACAAUAUAAUUACAACACCAAAUGAUACUUAAUGGGUCGUUUUGAUAACAAUUUCGUUUGCAAUUUUUUUUAAAUCUAGAUUUUAAGUUUGCAGAUUUUGUUUUCAGUUUUUAGUUUCAAUGAAAGUAGUUAUUAAACAAGGUUUCCAAUUUUUCUUUCAUGGUAUACAGUACGUAGUCCCAAAUAUCAGUAGUUAGAUCUUGCAUUUAGAUCUAAUGGGUAUUUACAACCUUUUUUCCUGAGAAUUUUGUACCAUUGUAGCCAGAUCACAUGUUUUCAUCCGUUAGUUUUAUAAAAAUGGAAACUACAAACUUAAAAAAAAAAAAAAAUAUAUAAUAUAUAUAUAUAUAUAUAUAUAUCAAAUGGCCCCUAAAUGCUAUUAAAAAUCUCAAAAAUUAACAGGAAACUAAAACAAAUUAGAAUUUAUUCAUGGUUUCGCAAAUCCCAGCCGGAUAAACUGGUGGCCGUUGUAAGAGAGGACCUCCAGCCGGAUAAACAUUUUCGAGUUAUUUGAUAUUUGUAUAGUAAAAAUACUUUAAUAGCAAGUGCGCGUGAGUGAAGAAAUUGAACUUACUUAUAUUCUUUCGAAUCCCAACCGGAAAAAUUGCAGGCUCUGGGAAGAGCGGACCUCCAGCUCUGCACCUCCUUCACGUCAACGUUAGAACGACCUUCAUGUUUAGCAAAAGCUUCUGCAAAACUUCCCUCGAGUUUACGAAUAUUGGACGGAUCGACUUGGUAGAAAAUGGGGAAUACAAUCUGGUUCUUGGAAUGGUUGCAUUCCAAGAUUUCCACGAGUUCUUUCAAGCACCAUGUGGAUGAAGCAUAGUUUUGAGAGAAAACUACAAUCGAAAUCCUUGACUCUCGAAUCGCUGUCAGGAGCUCGGAAAGGCGGUCGCCUUUUCUGAGGUCUUCGGCAUCAAUGAAGGUGUUGAUUGGUUUCUGACGCAGAGCUUUGUAGAGAUGGCUGACGAAGCCCGUGCGAGUGUCUUCCCCUCUAAAACUGAUGAACACAUCGUAUUCCCAACCAAGGCAAGAAGAAGAAGAAGAAGCAGCCAUUAAUCGAUCUCACCUGGGCAGCGAUGAUCGAGCAGCUAAGACUAAGAGAAUUGUAAGUACAGAAACACUCAAUAGAUCUACAAAUUGGAUCACCAGAAAUUAGUCAAUGAGUCAAUGCAAAAGGGAAAAGGGCAAUUAUGCUUUUUGCGUUUUCACAUCUUCUUCAGGAAAUUUCGGUGUGAAAGGAAUCCGCAUACUUUUGAUUUUUCAACCCAAGAAAAUGCGAAGAAAGGGGACAAAGUAGUAAAUUUAAUCUACAGUUAGUUACCUACUCAAUAACCUCUUGAUUUAAUAUAUAUUUAAUUGGGAAAAGUAGUUUAGAGCAAGGAUGUUAUCUCCUUUUCUUCUCUCUCGAUCAGUCAAUCUUCCCGCGUGCGAUUUAAUCAUGAUUAAAGCUAAGCUUAAUCUUAGGUCGUAUUAUUUAGGUCUAAUUGGAUUCUUAAUUCUUGUGAUAUAGUAGUUGGAAGAUUAAAAAAAAAUUAUGAUUUAAACGUUUGUGAUGAAGUCUGUUACGAUUUAAAUUCAAAAUUGAAAAUUUCGUUAACUCCAUUAAUUGUUAGCACAUGAGACUCACAAAUGAAACUAAAAAUAUAAAGUUAGCCUCACAUGUAAUCUUCACGUGCUAACAAUUAAAAGAGAGUUCCGUUUUAGCUUAAUAUAUGUGACUCACGUGUUAAUAAUUAACAAAAUAUUAACAAAAAUUUUAAUUUUAAGCAUAAAUUCAAAUAAACUUCACCACAUAAGCUUAAAUUCUAAUUUAGAUAUCUUCUAAUUUAGAUAAUUUUUAACUGCAAGAUGUACGAUGAACGGAUAUAAUUCACAAAUCUCCAAAAUCCUUACAAAAAAUAUCCGAAAAAGAGCCAAAUUCAAUGGAAAUAAGCUAAUUUUGAAUCAAAUAACAUUACUUUAUUUUGUAAAUAAAUUAAUUUUGAAUUGAACAACAUUCAUUUAUUAUGUAAGUAAUUCAUUUUGUAUGUAUCAUCAUAUAUAUUAGGCACAUUUUAUCAUAGGUGAUUUUGUGAAAAAUUAAUAAAAAGUUACAAUAUUAACAAUAGAUCAAUAAUAUUUAUGUUAAUUAUAAAUAGGCUAACCAUGUAUUAUGAUACUUAAAUGCAUUUAAAAUAAAUAAAAAUUACAAAAUCUACUACUACAGCUAGCAUUCACUUCAACUAAAGCAAUACGUAGUUUUUAUAUUUGGAAUAAGUCAUACGAAUCAGAGACAUGAAGAGGUGUAAGAACUGUGAAUGUCCAACAACAAAGACUUCGGAGUUUGUUGUCGAAUAUCUGCAGCGCAUCAUUUCUGAUAGAUCAAAUCGAGCCAAUUCCCGCAAACUCCAAUCCCACCACCACCUUUCAAGCCGGACUCAGCCCUCCGGGCGGCAUUUGGCAGGACAGCACUGGAUCAAACAAGAUUGAGACUGGCAGUGGGAGCAAUGAACGAGCACACUCAGCAGGGAAGUCCAUCAUGGGUUCUAACCACACAUUGUUUCUCUACUUUGUGGCUUCCAACACGAUUGGAUUUUUUGUUUCACUUUACAUGAUCAAUGUCCUCACCAGCAAUUUCCCUCUGCAGUUGGAGCUUCAAAUUUGUAUUGUCGCGAUGUACAGCACGUACAACACUGCAGUUUUCAGCAUUGCACCGGAGAACGUGCGCUUCUUCGUCCUUCUGUUCUCUGUAGUUUUCCCAACUUUGGUUACACUUGCUGUCCAAAAUGAUCGUCUUUCGACAUACAUCACAAUGGCGAUCUUUAAUCAUAAUGACUUGUACUGCUCGAUCAAACGAGACGCAUGGAGGCGCGACGUAGGAGCCACGGUGCAGCCCAAACUUUGCAGAUAAGAAAUCUGGUAAUUCACAGCAUCACAAACAUGUUACUGGGUCUCCUGACCAUCGUAGAUGCCAAUGUGUGCACAAGGAAAGGAGUAAGGUAAUCAAAUGCUUGAGUCUUGUGUACCUGUUUCGGUGUUGGUUCGGAUGAACCCAUUGAGUUCUCGAUCCUUAACUUCUGGAAAUGCUCCUGAAAGCAUAAAUAUAUGUACGGAUUUAAACCAAUGGCAAAUGGACAUAAUUUACGGACAAUGAUUGAAGAAAAUACAGAUAUAAACGCCUCAGUAUUCCAUUGACGAAAGUUCUAGAUUUGAUGAAUCAAACGUCCCACGUUGAGACUGCGUUAAGGCAAAUGGUUCUCAAACACAAAGCAAUAGUUUGCUACCGAAAACAACCAAAGUCUGACAAAGGGAACCGUCUUACACCUAACCUGUUUUUCCCUCAUCAAAUGAGCGCGUUGAUCUGCAGGUAUUUUCUGCCAUCUCAAAACCUGUUACAAAGAAAUAUAACGUUGAUGUUGAGCUGGAUAGCAUAUUAUACCAAUUAUGUGUACAAACCUAUUGAAAUAAAGUAGCUGUAGUUGCAUAUUACGACAGAUAUUAACGAAAACAAAAGAAGGCUCGCCUAUUCAAGAUCCUAAAUCCCAUGAUUCUUUUGUUUUUAGUUUCAGAAAUUUUCAGAGCACAAACUGGAAAGUACCAAGAUACUUACAUAUUGGGCAUAAUGAAAUGCAUCUUCAUCUUUCAAGCAAGAUUUCAGUGAGCGCAAACCAUCCUGGGAGUUACAUAAGUCAAUCAGUAAUAUAAAAACGUAGAUGCAUCACAUCCAAACACAAGUAUUCAAACACCAACAACUUCUUCAUGCGGUGAGGCAUGUUAAAAAAUAGGGAAGAACAGUUAUUGAAUAGGAAGUUAAAGGACUAAAUUUAUGACCUUGUGUUUGUAGUUCUUGGCUCGUAUGCGUUCAUCUAUUACAAAACCAAUCUGUAACAGGUACAACAGAAAAUAUAAGCAGUAGUCAGAACAUUAAGCAUCGGCAUUCAAAUUGCCGCCAAUCCAAAGUUAAAAGUCUAAAGGCAAAACAGUAUGAUUCUUAUCUCUCAAACAAAAAUGAAACUAUACCCCGGUCUCAGACAUAAAUGAAAUAAGUUCUACUGCCUCAACUGAGUACUGUGAUUAUAUAUAAAUCCAAUUCACCUUGUCAAGUAAUCUCUUAGGAUCUUGAAAUGCUUGCUUCUUAGCCCAGUCAUUAAAUACAUGCGAGAUAAUCGAUCUCUCAUCCACACUGAAUCUAUUGCACAGUGACAGGAGAAUAAAGUCAAACAUGAACAUAACCAACCAAAAAUGCUAGUUAUAAUAGUACACCCAUAAUUGCAAGCAAAACCUUUUUAAGAAGCCAUUUCCAUGGUUUUCCUCCCCAAAUUCCAUCAAUUCUGCAGAGGCAACGUCAAAUUUACUAUGAUGGAGAUCAUUUUGCACCAUAACAACUUCAGAAGGUAGGAGAUUUGGUUUGAGAUCAUCUGUUGACGGAGUAGUUUCUUUUGAAGUGUCAUGAUGCUUUGAUUGCAAGCCUUCUGUACUUACGUCAGCCUACAAAACAAAAAUUGCAUUCAUCCACACUAGACUUAAUAAGAUUAGAAACACUUCAGAUUCUUCACUAUUUGUAAGUUUGACUAAACAGCAGAACAACUGAGGAUAAUGAACAGUAAUACACACCUGGACUUCUCGUAGAUGAUUUGGAAUUUCUUUCAGAAAUCGCGAAGGUUGAAGCAUCUGAAGGAGCCACCUUCUCAGUCAGAGCAACAACAACAAAUAAGGAGGACAGGAAUUCAAGCUAAAACGAACCUGCCAACUGGAAUCCAUCGUAACAUAAAGAAUGAAAAGCUUUUUUCGAGCACGAGUCAUUGCAACAUAUAAUAGGCGUCUUUCCUCCUAUGAUUAGAGUGGGAUUAUUGAGUUAUUGACCAAAAGAAAAAAGAGUGGAAUUAUUGUGACAAACACUUCAAAGCUCUGCAUAUAACUGAAAAAUGUUGAACAAUUUACCACACACCUCAAUGGAGGUCCCAUUUUCUUUUGCAACGCCAUUGAAUUCAUGCAACAACGGAAUCUCAGAUUCAUUUACCUGUGUUAUUGGCAUGAGCAUUAAAGCAAGCUAAGAUGAUUUGAAGAGGUUGAUAUUGUCAUGAAUAUAGUAGAAUAGAAUACCAAUUUCAAGCCAUCAAUUAGGUAUAGCAUUGGCAUGUUUAAUCCGUAAAUCUAAUGACAGAACACCUCAACUCUACACAUAAAUAAAUAAACAACCUGAAAAAUAUUACAGCCACUUGUUAAGGCAAAUACCUUAAUUAUGAAAACUAUAUCCCACUCUAAACCUUUUGACUGCAAGAGAAUGAAAAAGAAAGACAGUAAGCCAAGAAUGUUUUGUAGAACUCCAAAGGAAGUCCAAUAGGGAAAUCAUCGCAAGUAUAAGAGUUAGCGAGGUUCGCAUAAGAGGAUAUCAAAAAGAUCUAGAACCUGAUGAAUAGUAGUCAAAGUGACAGAACUUUGGUUGUCAUGUCUUCGGGAGUGAAAAUUUUCACUCUCCCGCUCAGAUAUGUAGUCGAUGAAAGCUUUGAGUAAAUUAACGCAGCCUUUUUCUUCUGCUACGACUUCUCUCUCCCCUUUUCCCGCAACAAAAUGAGUUGAUAAGAAAUCAGAUACGUCGUCUAGUAGGUACUGAAGAACCUGCAAUGAGAAUAAUCGCAUCAAAACAACAGGGUUGGACCAAGAUUUAAGUGACAACAAUGAUUAACUAACUAAAAUAGAGAAAUUAUUCAUUUAAGACCUUGUUGACUGAAAAAAGGGUUUUCCAAGCAGCGGGUCAUUUAAGCUUAUUGUAUAAAUGACAAUCAUCACAAACGGCAAACUUACAGAUCUCACGUCAUUGUCUUCAUUCAGCAGUUUUCCUCCAUCUACAUCAACGACUGCACGUUGCUCAAGAAGGUACUUCUAAAAACUGAAAGUCAAACGAUAAAUUAUUAAGAAGCAUUGAAUAUAAGCAUGAAACGAAGAAAAUGUUAUGGAAUGGUGAUCCUCAUCCUCAAAGAUGAUUAAAAGCAAUUUGAUUCAAAAAUGACAUAUCAACUCUGGAGAAAUGGAAGACAAACCUGUGGUACCAUAUUCGCAACUGAGGUUAUGACAGCUGAAAUCGAUUGUUCCUGUGUGCAUUGAUAAGUGAGACUACCAUAGAGAUUCACAACUAAAUAAAGACAGGUAUUCCACAGAACAACCUUUACCUCUUUGGAAACACAGAUCUAACAAAAACUAUAACAUUUUGGAUUAAUAUUGACGAAUCAAGAAUAAUGCAAGGGAGCAAGAGAUACUCUUCCUUCUAAUAACAAGGAGGCGUGAAAAGUUUACAGAGUUCCAACAAUUAGAGAACUAAAAUCAAACUAAAAAAAUCACCAAAGUAGACAGAAUCCCACUUCGCCAAAAAUUUGAAAAUAUAUCCUUUUUAUCCAUUGAGAUUCAUGAACUACUACUACUACAUCAUGCCAAUAAGCAAUGCGUAAGAGGUGCUACAAUUUACCGAAUAUAUUUACCCUGAGAACAAGUUUUGAAAUCAUCUCUAGUGUUAACAGCACCUUGCGUCCUUGGGUAAGCUGAGUCCUAUUAUCAAGUAAAGAGACCAAUCAGUACAUAUCCAAAAGAUCUUAAAUGCUUGUAAUACCAAAUAAGAAAGAAACAUGAGUAUAUCUUGAAUUAACAAUGCAAAAAUGUAAUGUUAAAGCAUCUUGUCAUACAGACCUCUUCAAGGUACCAGAAAUUUUGGCACUAAAGAUGUCACAAGCAGCUGAUAUGAAGCUGCAUUUUCUGUGAGUUGAAAUUUUGUCAAUAUAAUCAAUCACCUGAAGAGAGAGAGAGAGAAAGACAGUGAUAUCCAGAGAUGUGAGCCUAAAUGCUGAGUGUGUAAAAAAAGAAGAUUAAAUGGAUAGCAAGAAUAUACAACUUUAAUGCUGAAAAGAACAUUGAAUAUGAUGCUCAUUCAUCAUUGCCAUUGAACGUGUACCUUCUUCUUUUCCUCUUUCUCAAAAGCAAGUAGAGCCUUGAAGACUCGCCUAUAUGAUCCAUCAUCACAACCAGGCAAAGUUGUUUUAAUCAUAGCAACAAUGGCUCUAACUACCUGCCAUAAGAAACAUGCUACAUCAACAAGAUCACAGAGUGUACCAGAAACCGUAAUGUAGCAAAAUCUUAGAUAAAAUAGCUGGCCAAAAGGGAAUGGAAAAGCAAGCACAAAAAACAAUGAAAAGGACCAGUGAUGCCAAAAUUCUGGUGGAAAAGGUGAAAAGCUUACGUCUAUUACAGUUCUUGUAUGCAUUCUUUAUAACUUAAGUUCUACGCAGCAAAAACCACCUUAUGCACAACAAUAUUGGAAAAAUUAGAUACAUACAACUGAGAAGAUAGGUUUUCAUAGCUGGACAAGUGCUAACUACCUUCUUCCUAUAAACUGCCACUCCAUGAACAUUAAAUGGUAUUUUCCUUUCACGCAAGGCUGUCUGGAAGACUUUUCCUGAUACCUGUAGUAUAAAAUACAAAAGAAAAUGUGAGCAAAAUGUCUUAUAUGAUUCACCUCAUUCACAUUAGCACUAAGGCAAGUACGCUUGACCUGCCUCCGGUAAAGGAUUGCUAUAUUUCCAUAGGAGCACCCUGCUUCUGACCGUUUAGAUGCAGUCUCCAGGAUCUUGUCGACAACAAAGGCGCAUUGUGCAUCCUCAUUGUGACUUUCCUUGAUAAUUACCUACAUUUUGCCAGUAAAACCGGUGUCACUAACUAAAAGGACUGAAAAAUGACAUCAAAUUGUACUUGUUGGAGCAAGGAAAGAUUAAGUACCUUAGACCCAGAAGAAUUGUCCGUGUCAACAUUCUUUAGUUGGCAUCGCUUCUUAUUGUUUUUUAUAACAGAAGAUGCAGCUUCCACAAUAUAGCGUGUGGACCGAAAGUUUUUAUUAAGCCUAAUCUGAACCAUAAAGUUAUGUCAAAUCCCACAGAACCCCAUAAAAUAAAACUUACUUUCCUGUAAUUGUACAAUAUAUUUGUUCUAUACUAUAUAUAAUGAAAAAAGACACUGUGAAUGACAUAAGAUAACAUAGCAGUCAAGUGCGAAGCGAACCUCUUUGUUAUUUGAAAAAUCUUUACGAAAAGAAUCAAAUCCAGAAAUGUCCGCCCCAUUGAAACUGAAAAUGGACUGCAGCAGGAUAUAUGUUAUUUGAUUUAGAAAAGAUAAGGGCUGGAUUAAAAUGAGCUGAGAGAGAGAGAGAGGGAGAGAGGGAGCAAUAACAUUGGAUUUCCAUAAUAAAUCAACAACAUGCCUGAUCAUCAUCACCAACAAUGGUUAUGUGGUUAUGAGAGGCGAGAAUCCGCAAAAGACUAUAUUGCAUAGCACUUGUGUCUUGAAACUCGUCUAUUACAAUAGCUUUCCAUGACUCCUGGCACUCCUUCAACACUAAUUAAAAGAACACCAUGUAUCAACAUUUAGCAUUACUUGUAAAACUAGAUAAAUCAAUGAAAUAUACUUAGAUGAUAGAGACCUUCAGGAAAAUCACUUAGCAGCUUCACAGAGCAGCUAAUUAAGUCGUGGUAGUCCAAAGCGUUGCACGAUUUCAAGAUAUCAUUGUAAUUCCUAAGAAUUUCACCCUGAUUCAGAUUGAGAGCUAAAACUCAUAAGCAAUAGUUUCAAAGAACUGAAAUCAUAUCUGAAAUUCUAGUUCUGAGCGUACUCCUGUCACAUCACCCAUUCUUCGGCAUUCAGCGGGAGUCUUUCCAGAAGCUUUUGCCUGAAACAUAAAUAAAUUUAUUGCCUAAUGCCACAUAUUGUAAGACACACCAUUGUAUUGGUCAUUCUAGCUUGAUUGUAGCUAAUAUUUUUUAAAUCGAAUGAUUAGAGUUCUUAAUCCACAAUAAUCUGAACAUUAAAUUUGGUAUUCAAGACUGACCUGUGUCACAAACUUCAGCCAUUUCUUUGAUGCAUCCUUAAAAUGAUGUGGAGAUGUUACGCCGUUAGACUCUUCCCCAUCUAUAGCAACAUUAAGAUUCGUUUUACUCUUUUCAUCUUCUGAUAAACGCACAGCUUCAAUGAUUGCUCUUCUCUGUUGCCCAUGUCCAUAUAUCAAAAAUUCUGGUCUGCGCUCGAGUCUAAAACACAAGGCAACAUAACAGACUCAGCUAUACCACCAUAUGUAUGGUGUUCAAAAUCAAGGGAGGUGAAUCAAUAGCUUACUUCUCAGCAUGUGAUCGGCAAAGUUGCAAUGAAAAUGAAUGAAAUGUACUGAUUGUUAGUAGUUUGCCGUUGCUUUCCCAGUCACAGAUCCAAUUCGAUCUCUCAUCUCGGAAGCUGCUGCUGUAGUGAAAGUCAUUGCUAGAACGUUCGACGUGCUAAUGCCCUAAGAACACCCAAAAAAAAAAAACGAAUAAGAUUUCGAUCAUAAACAAGAAAUGUAGAGAAACAGACAAUUAUGAAAGAAAAAGUUAAGAGGGAAAGUAGCAACACCUCAUUGAGCAGCAUUAGAACGCGCCCAACUAUCGUUGAAGUCUUUCCACUUCCAGGGCCGGCAACAAUCAUCAAAGGUACUGAACUAUCGCUGCAAGCUGCCUCGAGCUGCCUUUCGUUGAGAGAAAGCAAAUACUUCAAAUACUCAUCCGGCAUGUUAGGCAAUCCAUGGUUAACAGAAUCUGUUUGGUUUUCACUACUCAAAGGCGGCGCUGAUGCGGCACUAACGACACUACCACAACUCCCAAUAUCAUCACGCUGAAUGUCCACACUCGUUUUCUGCUCGAUUAAAGCGUCAAUUUCCUGCAAAAUACUCUCAUCGAAAUCAUCAUCGUUAAGAAUUCCAGAUGCAGAGAAAGAAUCAAAUGAAGUCAGAAACUGCGGUUGUCUGAUUGGAGUUGUGAAAGAAUCCGAUUUUGACACGCUUGAUUCGGUCCGGCUAACGCUUAAGCUCCCGGAACACGAAGCACUGCCAUAUUCACCACGCGCUGAAUUGUACCGGCUUGCGGAAAUCGGAGGCGGUGUUCUUUGAACUCUAUUGAGCUGAGUUGGCGUUUGGAUUCCAUUUCCGCCACAGAUUCUGGAAUUUGAAAAACACAAUUGAAUUGAUUUAAAUUGAAGCAAGAAAACGGCCGAGUAGCAAAAAAAUAGUAAGAAGAUGAAACCUUUGAUUCCUGAACGACUUACUUGGUAUGAGGGAGGUGAUGAUCAGGUGAAACGGCGUCGUUGCGGGGGCGUUUGCGAUCAAUGAGGGCCUUGGCGGCUCUGCAAUUCCGAGAGAUGCGGUUUCUUUGUUCCGCCGUGAGCCCUCCGCCGUACGCCUGAACGUUUUCCUUGGACAUUGCUUCGAAGAUUCCAACGGAGGAUUUGGCCUGACGGCCUGACCAGGCUGAUAACAGUGUAAAACCUUAGGAGCUAAGGAAAAACUAAGAGAGAGAUCGUAGAGAGGGGAAAGUUUUUUGUUUUUUGGAAACUUAGAGAGGGAAAGUUUGUUAAACCUGCAUAAUAUUCUUUUCGUUCAACUUGUCUACAAUAAUUACCACUCUUGGUAUUUAUACAUUUGUAACACACCUCACUAACUAACUAAGACCACUACCAAUCAUACAUAAACACUUGUCAUAAUCCUAUGCACUCAUAGUAUCAUCACUCUAACAUCCCCCUCAAGCUCGUGUGGCAGAUUGCCAAGUAUGAAAUUGGAACAAUUACGAGUGAACUGGGGUGAACACAAGCCUUUGGUGAACAUGUCGGCAUAUUGAUCUGCAGAGGUAACAAACUGCAAAAUAAUUGUCCUUCGAUGAACUCUUUCACGAACAAAGUGGCAAUCAAUCUCUAUAUGUUUGGCUUUAGAGUGCAAUACAGGAUUAGUCGCAAGAGCCAUUGCUGAAAUGUUAUCACAAUUCAAAACUGGAACAGAAGGAUAACCAACAUGCAAAUCUCGAAUAAGUUGUUGUAUCCAGAUAACCUUAGCAGUGGUUGUAGCCAUUGCUCUAUAUUCAGCUUCAGUGGAAGACCUACUCACUGUAUGCUGCUUUUUAGAACUCCAAGAGAUAGGAGUAUCUCCCAAAAAAAUGACAAAACCCGUGGUUGAACGACGAUCAUUGGGAUCCCCUGCCCAAUCAGCAUCUGUAUAAGCUUUCAACUAAGAUGAACCUAAUUUAAAACACAAUCCCAAAGACAUAGUGCCUCUGAGAUAUCGCAGAAUACGUUUCACAGCAGCAAAUAAGUGGCUAAGGGUGAAUGCAUAAACUGACAUACUUGAUUGACAUAAAAAGAAAUAUCUAGUCUUGUAAAUGUUACGUAUUGCAGUGCCCCAACAAUACUUUUAUAAGUGGUAGGAUCAGAAACAGGUUCACUACCAUGAUUCAGAAGCUUCUAAUUAGGAUGACAAGGUGUGGGAAAAGGUUUAUAGUCCAGCAUAUGCAUAUUUUGAAGGAGUUCUUUGACAUACUUGGUCUGAUGAACAAAGAGUCCCUGAUCCUGAUACUCAAUCUGUAAACCAAGAAAAUAAUGCAACACACCUAGAUCUUUCAUGUCAAACUCACUAGUUAACUGACUAAUAACAUUAUGAACCUUCACAUCAUCAUUACUAGUGAGAAUGAUAUCAUCAACAUAUAAUAAGAGAACAAUAAUUGAUGAACAAUCACACUUGACAAAUAAUGAAGGAUCUGCAUAUGAGAUUGAGAGUUACAAGGAAAAGAUAUACAAGACUUAUUAAGUGUUGCAAUGACAAUGGAAUGUGCAGGAUCGCCUAAUCAACAAUGCCACAAUGUAGAAGAAAUCUUUUGACCCACAAAUGCAACUGGAUUAAAAACAGGAGAAAUAGACCUCUGUGGUUUGAUAUGGGAAGUGGAUAGACAACAUUAUUACUCAGCCCUUGGAAUAGCACUCUCCCGAUGACCUUGUCCUAUAGACAGAGAGAAACAUCAUCAAUGAUACAACGACACUAAUUAUCUUUGCACAACUAAUUCAUAGAUAAUAAGUGUUGUGAUAGUUUUGGAACAUGUAACAAAGAGUUUAACUUGAAAUUAUGUGACUUAGUGAGAAGAGAAGAGGAACCAAUAUGUUUGAUAGCUAAACCUUCACCACUAGCAGUGGUCACAGUAUCAUUUGAUGGAUAAAUUUGUUGCCAUGUGCAAGUUUGACAAAUCUGAGGUCAUAUGGUUAGUUGCUCCCAAGUCAAGAAACCAGAAAUCUUGUUGAAGAGUUGAGGAUGAUGCACCAGCUCGUGCUUGCACAGCAAGAGGAGGAUUUUGUGAGGAUAUAAUUGAGAGAUACAUAUGUGGUAUGACAGGAUACUGAAACUCGAAGCUAUUAGACUGUGGAAUCAUGCCUUGUGAAAGACCACAUGGAUUCUAGCUAGGUGCUUCACCAUAUGACCCAGUAGGCAUUGGAGUUGGCAUAGACGAGGAUAAACCCUGAGAGAAAUGCUAUGAUGUGUCUGUGAAAUUCUUAUUCCGAUCAAAGCAAGUAGCAGCAACACGGCAGCCUCUGUGACAAAUUUGACAUCCAUGUUGAAAACAAUUCAAUGCAGAAUGACCUUUGCGAUCACAUAUUUGCAUAAUGGCCUCUGUGAUCACAUAUUUGCAGAAUGGCCUUUGCAACCCUAGAAAGAACAAGGCGCGAAGAAGACCAAAUGUGUACGUUUCUCUUUGUUUUUUUUUCCCUCCUAAUCGUGCUGUUCGAAAUCACGGACCUCGGGCUUGGGCCUAAUGGGCCCAAUUAUGAGGCCUAUUAUCUCCGGUCUUCUCGUUCUACUUCUAGUUACCCAAAUUAAGAACGUGCUGGUUCGCUUUUAGCGCGAGAGAGAAAUGGAGGCCCUGAUUGCCUCGUACGGAAACUCGUCGUCGGGCUCAGACUCCGAGACGCCGGCUCCACCUCCACCACCACCUCCGGAGCUCAACAACCCUCAAGAACCGACCCCUGCGCUGCCUCCACCUCCUCUGUCACUUCUCGACAGCCCCAAUUCCUUCGGUAACCUCUGAUUCCCAUCAAUUUUCAUCUUUUAGCUUUCUGUUGUGAUGGCUUUUUCCGAGUUGCCCACCAAGUGUUUGAUAUUUUGCCUCUGAAGGAUUUCUGGACUUCUCGGCAAGCGUCCAGCCGAGCAGAGUUCGGAACUUUCCUCACGUCGAAGGGAACUACGCAGUACAUGUAUACAUCCCAGGUUAUCAAAAUUCUCGAAAUUUUCAGCUCCAUUAGCAAAUGCGAUCGCUUUGCACUUAGUUUUUGCUUGUUUAAUUGUGUGGUUCCAGUUUAUAUACCACCAGCACCAAGGAAAGAGAUGGCCUUGUUUUUGAACAAGCUAGCUUCUCUGGUGCCUUGUCUCCAUGCGGUUGACGUUGACUUCCCGCUUGACAUUCUGCGUAAGGACGAGCACAAGCUUGAACAAGUUGCUUUAGGCAGAGAGUUCCAUAUAAGUCUCGGAAGAACUGUUCCGAUUCGGGUGCACCAGAUUGAUUCCUUGGUGACAAUGCUGCGGCAGAAGCUUCAGAUUCAGAGGCGGUAUGGUUACAUUUACAUUCUCUUGUCUGCAUUGCGUGAAUUUAGUUCUGUUAUUUAACAUAAUUCUGUAAGCCUGCAAUUUUUUCGUCCAUUUUCGGUUUAACACAUUUUGUUAUUGUGCAACAGGUAUUGGAUUGAUUUUAGCAAGUGGGAGGUUUUUGUUAAUGAUGAUCAGACCCGGACCUUUGUGUCUAUCGAAAUCAUUGCUGCUGGGUUAGCUGAGGUAUGAUUGCUAGCUUUCUCUCUUGGUGCAAUUCUAAAUGUUUUCAGUUGUUAUAUGGGCUUAAGAUUUAGUAAGGACUUGCCGAAAGUCAUGGGAUUUUGAAAUAUCGAUAUCUUGCUUGCUUAUUAGCUUAGAUUUGGUCUUCGAUGCACUUGUAACAUGAAAAACACAAACGAAAACUAAUGCAUGAUAUGCUCAUGGUUUUAACAUGUGUUGUCCUGGCGUAAAUCAUGUUCCUAAUCCUGUCAUGUGAGUAUAAGCCUAUGAAACUCAGGGCAUGUUUGGCGGGCCGGACAAGAUUGGAAUUGGUAUUUCAGACUAGUUAGGUUAGGAUUGAACUGGAUAGGAUAGGUUUUUUUGUCUAAAGAUUGGUGUAGACUGUCUUAACCAGACUAGGAACGAUGGGAUUUAAAACGUGAAACAGAUCCGCGACAUCCCAACGAUGACCCGCCCACCCAACAACUCUGCUCGUGACUUGCAACACCUCUCGUACCCUCCACGCCCCUUGAGGCCCGUCAGACCACUCUGAUAUCCUGGAGGGGUGAAACGUGGUUACUAGAAGCAUACCUGUUUUCGUAUUAAUGCACAGUUGAAGCAGCUUUCAUUGUCUACAAGUCUGAAAUAUUUCAACUUCCAUUGAUUUCAGAUAACAAAGCAGAUUCAAGCUGUGAAUGAGGUGUAUAAGCUUCACAAUCUUCCUGAAUUUUACAAGGUUAGCUUUUUCGUGCUUUUCAAACUCGAAAUUACUUACUGAAUAUAUGACAAUAUAUUGGAGCAAAUGAUUGUGCCUGAAUGCUACUCAUUGCUCAAAAAACUAAAUCACUUCAUGGGGUGUUGGUGAUCACAGGAUCCGCGCCCUCACAUCUCGGUAGCUUGGGCAUUGGGUGACAUCGGCAAUUCCCUGAAGAAAGUGGUUGAAGAAGAAAGACGAAGAUCUACCAUCGGAGGAUCGUUACAGAAAUGUAUUUUUACCAGUAAAUUCAAUGGUAUUGAAUGUAGGAUUGGUAAUAAAACACACAAAAUAUGUAAAUUUUCUGAACAAUAAUGUAGCCAUUUAACUAUAUUGUGAAAUUCCGAGAAUAUAUCGCUGAGCAUUGGAUGAGAAGACAUUUCUUCGUUGGUGUCGAACUUCAUGCCGAAGGUAUAGACACCGUGUAAACGCCAUCAUCCAUGCAGUCUCCUGUGCAUUAUUUAGUAUUGUCUCAGUUUCUCCAAACUUGAAUGCUCCUAUAAACCCACUCUUGACCUUUCCGUCAUCUGCGAUUACCGGAAAGCUGGCAAGGAUGUUGCCGUUAACCUACCUAACCGGCUAGGAUGUUGCCGUCAUCUCCAAACUUUAAAUACCGGAAAGCCGGCUCCAAACUUCAAUGUGCUACUAGUUUUUGUAUGCGAGAGCUCCACCUCCAUUGUUGUAACAGCAUCUGAUGCGGACUAGUCCUUCAUUCCCGUUACUCUUUGCUAUCUCCACUUCGAACUUGGCGUAAUGGCUCCCGGCCUCCUCUCCGGUGAAAUUGAGAAACCCCGGAGCUGGCGUUUUCAUUCUGUUGUCCGUAUAUCUUGUAUUACAAGUAUUUGUUGUGCAAAAUGCAAGCUAAGUUCAAUUUAUGUUUAUGUGUGUGUGUGUGUUGCCACUUUGUCACUUUUCCAACGUUUUCUCCAAAAUUGUGAUUUUGGUGAAUCCUAAUAACAAUUCCCUCGUUAAUCAUUGGGACGAGCACCAAGGCAGUUUUGAUUCCGUGCACAACGGCGAUACCUCGAAAGAAAUUGAUUCUAACCCAGAAAGAUGUUUUAAAUCAAAGUUGAACAAGGGAAGAAAACUUUUGAAUCGCAAUCACAUGUCUGGUCAAAUUCUUGAACAGUUGAUGUAUACAGACGUUCCUUGCUUAUGACACGACUUAUGAGAGGAUGUAUGUAUUGCAUUUGCAUCAAAAAAGAGAGAGAAGGUUGUAAGUGGUAAGGGAACGACUACCGAUGCCGCUCCACUUCUAAUCAAAGGGAUCGAUCCGAGGGUCGUGUUCACUUGCCAUCGCCAUUCCAGUGCAAAGGCAUGUCGGGCACAUUACCUGCCACAUUUACAGACGCAAUGUUAGAUAUAGCUGCCAUUUGGAAGUCACUUCUCAAAAUUUUGCUACUAAAUUAAUCUUAGACUUCAUUUCCAGUGCAAUUUUUUGCUACUAAAUUAAGCUUGUGAAUAUAGUACAUCUAAGCGGCAGGCACUAAAAGGAAUUUAGUAUGCAAUAAACAUUCAACGGACUAACCUUUCCCGCUCCUGAGCAAUUUGAACAUCGUUCAGUUUUUGGCAGAGAUAGGGGUUGGUUUCCGCCAUCAGCUGUCGAUACUGGUUCAGUAAGAACAAGGGUUCCAGUGCUGGAGCAACGAGCACAAGCAAGAUAUCCUGCGUAAGUAUCAAAUACACAGGUAAGUUGACAUAUGAAACCAAUCUGUGUAAACUACACUGUAAUAGCAGAAGAAUAUGCAGUACGAGAGAAAGAGAGAGAGAGAGAUUUAGAGAGAGAAGUUAAUACUUCAUAUGUAAUAUUUUCUAUAUCAUCAAUCUUACAAUAUUAAGACUAUAUACUAUAUGAAACUGCUAACUAACUCUAACAACCUCUCUAACAACCUUUCUAAUCUUUUGACAAGUGUCUUCAUAUUCUACCAUUGGAUUACUAUCCUUAACAUCCCCCCUCAAGCUCAGGAGAGGUAGAAUCCAAACUGAGAUUGCGACAAUGAAUCUGAAAGAGAGGAGCAGAUAAUCCCUUGGUCAGUAUGUCUGCAUAUUGCUCACUGGAAGACACAAACUGAACAAGCAACUGCUUCUUUGCAACUCGUUCGCGAACAAAAUGAAUAUCAACCUCAAUGUGCUUUGUGCGUUGAUGUAGAACUGGAUUGGAUUAAGCAAUUACUGACCUUUGUGCAUCUUACUAUUCCUACUUCACCAGUUUUGUAUUGUGAUAAUAUGUCAGCAAUCGCAUUAACAACCUCUCUAACAACCUUUCUAAUCUUUUGACAAGUGUCUUCAUAUUCUACCAUUGGAUUACUAUCCUUAACAAUCUGAACAUCUCCAUCGUAUAUAUUUAAAGCUACAGUACAUAAAACGAAAAGUCAGAAAUAGAGGACAUUAUCACACCAGUUCCAAGACAAUAUUUGCAUCGUUUAUGCUCCUGCUGUUUCACAUUGUUUAUUUCAACUACCAUCAAUGCUGAGAUCACUCCGACUGCUCCUCCAGAGAAUGACGCCACUAUGGGAUCAACUUGACUGCAGUUUGAAAGUAAAGGAGAUCAAUAAACAAAACUGUUAACAACAUAGUAUCAACAUUAUUUAGCUUCGUUUCAAGAAAUAUGACAUCCUAGGUUUUUCUAAUGUGUAAAAAUUGAGGAUCCUUGACUAUAUCGGUUCCCAAAGCAUUUGAUUCCUACGUUACAGACGGAAAACAGUAACAAUCGAAUUUAAAGAUUCAUAACACGAUAGAUGGUAGGUCUCGGGUUCGAGACUUGGGAGCAGCCUCUCCAUAAAUGGGGGUAAGGCUAGCCGACAUUCACCUCUCCCAGACCCUGCGUAAAGCGGGAGCCUUGUGCACUGGGUACGACCUUUUAUAACACGAUAGAUGGUACAAAUUUUCAAAACGAUAAUUACUAGAGAACAGGAGGGUUAAUAGCCUGAGAUAUGAGCAAUACCUCAACUGCAACGGCAGAUGCAUAUUUACUAUAAAGUCUUUAUAUGAUGUGCCUCCUAUUCCCAGCUUCAACUCCAACUGAAAGAUGUAAAGGUAAUUGUAGGCAAAGAGUUACAAACAUAACCGAAUCCAUGUUUUAUAAGCAACAACUACACUUAUUUUGUUAUGUUUCCUCAUUUUUUACUUGCAAAUUCCGAACCAUAUUGUCGGACCAGUAAAAAGAAAAUAAUGUUUAUGAUAACUGUUAAAACUAAUCACAACAAGUUAAUGCAUAAAGAACUUACGGAGGGUGCUAUGAGGCCACCGAAAAGGAUAAACCCCGCAAUAAUUGAAUAACAAACAGCAUAAUAUUGCUUAAGGUUGUCUGAACUCUGCAAGCAAUGAAUUCACCUUGUGAUUAAUACUUUGCACAAACACUAGUUUUCGCAAUUUUUUAUGAAUCGACAAAAGGCUACAACAAAAUAUGGCUAAAACAUGUGAAAAUACAUGUCUUCACAGGGGCACCAGCUUACCAGGGGAGGCAAAAAUGGAAUGAACGAUGGAAAACUAGGAAGUUCGUUUUCUUGAUCUUCAUUUACCGCUCCAAGCUCUGCACGUUUAAUCCGCUGUUGUAUCCUCAGCCCGCGAACCUACGCAUAUCGAAGCUCAUUCUUAAAGAACACAUUUCUAAUGGCAAUUGGAGAGUAAUUUAAAACAUGCUAAACUGAGAAAGUGGUAGCAACAAGCAAUUGCUCUCACUUCCUCCAUAUGCAAGAAAAUUUUGUUGCGACGACUCCGAAUAUUAUCUUGAAUUUCCUGCAGCUCCAUUGUCGCAAAGUCCUGCACUGUUUCAGGCCCCUCUAUGAUACAAAAUCUGCACAAUUAAGCAUGUAAAAACUAAAAAUUACAGGCUAUAAAACAAUUUCCGUAUCAUUUUUGGGAGCUCUCUCUCUCUCUCAAACCAGAAGGCAGAGCUUUCUGUUUCUCUUGAGGUUUCUUUCACUGGUAAAUUCCAGAGAAGCAGAGAAGAAGGCUCUCUGAGAAAUGGCGAUGGUGCAAGUGGAGACAAAACAAAUGUAUAUCUUGAAGCACCGAAAUUGUGCAGAACACUUGUCAACUACCGAACUCUAGGAUUAGGAGAGAGAGAGAGAGAGAGAGUGAGUGACCGGCAAAAAAAAAAAUGAGGGAAGAAUCACCCACAUUUAAAAAUGAUUUUUAGGGGACCUGGUGUCGUUGGAUUCGAGUAGUUGUUCGGUAUGUCACAUUUAAAAUUUUAUUAUCUGAUGAUAAACGUCGAAACAUAAAGAUAGGUCAUCUCUAACCGAAUGAGGACUAAAAAGUCAUGUUUAGUACUAUAAUCCUGCAAUGAAUUAUAUUUUAAUAAAUAAUAUCAGGUUAUAUUUUAUACCAUAUCUAACCGAGUGGGUCAAAUGAUCAUAUGCCAAACAUAGCCUUUUGACAAAAAACUCAUCUCCAACCGAGGGGGCUAAAUGGUCAUAGACCAAACAUAAUUGCUCAAUAAUUUAUUAUUCUAAUUGAAUUAAUAUGAUUAAUUAAAUUAAAUUACCAUAUUAAAAUAAGAUUUCAUGAUAUAUUUUGAGUGCCACUUGCCACAAUACCGAAGAAAGCAUGGUAUUAUUGCACCUGCCACAAAGUCAAGCUUGACAUUCUGCUGCUGGAGGGCUGGCUGGCUAGCUGAAAAUGGCCAGCCUGCUGGCCUGAUUUGGGAGGUUUUGGCCCAAUGGGGCCCCAAGCCCUUUGGCCUAGCCUUCGGUUGGAAACGGUUUUCGUGUUAUUCUGAGUUAUUUUUAACCCUAUGAUCCUUUGGCCGGAUCGAUUGGAGAUGACCUUAGGUGUGUUGAUUGUCUUUGAGACAUCGGAGGUUCUGUGUGAUUGAAUACUUCACCCUCCUCCAAAGGCGCCACUCUUGAGAAGGUUACUUGCCUCAUGCAAACAUUGUGAAUUGCAAGUGAUGAAUUGUUCUGAUGAUGAGGUUUAUUUUUUAACUCAUUAUGUUUCAAGUUUAAACAUUUUUCCCUCUCUUAGUGUAAAAUAUUGUUUGUGAUAAAAAAACUUAAAAUGAGACACUCUCCUUCAUAUAUAAGAUGAUCAAGUGUGAGAUUAAUACUUUUAAUGAGUGACUCAAUUAACCAUUUUCAUUUCUUACGCGUUCAAAAUUAGACAAAUUCUUUGCAUACAUUUAAAAAAAAAAGAUAUUAAGGAGAGUAUAAAAUUAUUACAUUACGAAGAGAGAGUUUCGAACUCGGGACGUAUGAGUAGAACCCUAACGCCUCUCCACUAGGAUAUUAGACCAAUACUGGUCUUGAAUUUUUUUGGUGCCCGGAGCGAAUGCUCAAAACGUGUCUUUUUCCAGUACAACAUAAAUUAAAAAGAAAUAUUUAUAGAGGGCUAGAACCCAAUCGAAGCUGGGGGACUAGGCCCUUACGCCUAUAUUAUAUUACUUACCUAAUACAAACAUUUCUGAUAGAUUUCAGAGGCUCUAAAUGGUCAAACACUUCGUCCUUCCCAAAACCGUUACUGUUGAGAGGGUUCCUUACCUAAUACAAACAUUUUACGUUUACUUAGAACUAGAAAAAUAAGAAUUGCAGGUGAUGAAUUGCUCUAAUGAUGAUGUUUAUUUUUUAACUUAUUGUGUUUUAAGUUUAAAUAAUUCUGUUUCUUUGAUAUAUAUAUUAGUGUAAAAUCAUUCGUAAUAAUAAAAAAAAAGAAUAAAAAUGAUACUCUCAUUUAUAUACAAGUUGAUCAAGUGUGAGAUUAAUAAUUUUAAUGAGUGAAUUAACUAUUUUCAUUUCUUACGAGUUCAAAAUUACACAAAUUCUUUGCAUACAUUUUUUUUUUAAAUAGAAAAUUUCUAUUAUUAAGGAGAGAGUCCUAAACUAUUAGGUUAUGGAAUGUGAGUAGAAACCUAACGCCUAUCCACUAGGAUAUUAGACCACCAGAGCUGAUCCUGAGAUUUUUGGUGCCUGCGUCAAAAUAUGUCCUUUUCCAGUACAACAAUAUAAAUUAAAAAGAAAUAUUUAAAGAGGGCUGGAACCCAGUCGAAGCUGGGAGGCUAGGCCCUCACGCCCAUAUUCUAUUACUUGAAGAAACAAUAUACAACGGGGGGAAUCAUAGUACCGAAACCCCAACAAUAAAAAACAAAGUCACAUGCAACCACUCCAAGCAGUCAACUUGGCCAUUACAUAUUGAAUCCAAAAGGUUGACGGCCUAUUCUCUGCAUACAAUGCACAGAAGAUAACAAGAUUACUAAUAUAAAAAGAACAUCUGAAAAGAUGAACAUAUGCAUCAACAAAUAAGCAGGGGCGGAUCCACAGUGGGGUCGUCGGGGUCAAACGACCCCUUGGAAACCAUGGAAACAACCUUGAAGCUCCCAUAUGCGACCUCUUGGAGCUGGGGUUGUCGGGGUUGUCAGGAAGAGGAAGAAGAAGACUCGGCAGGAAGAGGAAGAAGAAGCAGCUCGCGCGACGUGUAGGUUCUGUGUAGAGUUUCUGACCUUUAAUUCCCACUUCACAAAGACGAGAGAAAGAGAGAGAGGGAAGGAAAGUCCUCGGGGUGGUGGUGAUGUAGACCUUCGUCGGGGUAGUGGUGUGGGUGUGCGUGGGUGUGGAUUCGAUCGGAGAGAGUGAGAGGGUUAAAGAGUGAAAAAGAGAGAGAGAGAGAGAGAGAGAGAGAGAGAGAGAGAGAGAGAGAGAGAGAGAGAGAGAGAGAGAGAGAGAGAGAGAGGAGAGUUCGGGGAGAUGAGAAGGAGGACAAUGGGGACUUGCCCCGUGGCAAGUUGUGAUAGGUAGGAAAUCCCAAAAAGGGAUCCGGAUAGGGUAAGUAAGUGGGGACCAAAUUGUAAACUUCAUUUAACUGUAGGGAAAUUGUGAAAUUACAAGGAAAUCUUUGGGGAGGGGUUUUACAGAAACCCUUCUCAACACUUAAAAGCAAACUGCGUGCUUUUAAUCAGGUUUGGCUCUAUAAUUGAACUUGUAACCAUGCCUUUCCCUAUGACGGAAUUGUGAUAUGCUUUGCCAGAUAUUCACAAGGAAUUCAUUUUUCUUUUUCCAAUUGCAAAAUAUUAGUGAACAAGUUGUUUCUUCUAUGAGAGAUCCAAGCAUAAUGGUUGGGUAGAUGCAGAUGAGAAAAUCAGCAGUUGCUGUAUUUGGCACAGUAAGAUAUUAACUCUUACAUCUAAAUUGAAAAACAUGAAAAUUUCCUAGUUCUCAAGGUCUCACGUGCAUGCUCAGAUACAUUUGUGCUUCAUAUUUGUGUGUUUGAUUCCGAGAAGGCUGACAAGUUGAAGCAAUCUCUUCCUCCAUGUUUGAACAUUCAGGACCUUUGAACAAGGAUUUUGGAGUAGCUGGUUGCGCUAUCCUACCAAGACCCGAUGAAAUGACGAUAUGCAUGCCGUUUCUGUUAAAAAAAAAUAUCCUUAUUGACCCCCCAAACAUUAUUUCCUGGAUCCGCCACUGCAAAUAAGUAAACCAUUCUAAGUGCAAUUUUAGAAGUGAUACGCUCCAAGUGUGAUAUUGGACAGAAGAGCGGCAGCUUCAACCAGUUCUGCUAUAUCCGGCUGGAUGAGAGCUGCUAAAGACAUGAUUGUUCCCUAAUAACAUGAAUAAAUUGAGUAAACACCAAAAGUAGCGCAGCAAGGGAAGGAGAUUUGAAGUAGAUGAAGAGGUGUAAUACCCGUAUAUGCAGCGCAUCAUUUCUGAUAGAUCAAAUCGAGCCAAUUCCUGCCAACUCCAAUGCCGAUAAUCCUACAGUAAAGCAUAAAUCUUAUUCUCUUCUGAUAAAGAUGUGUGUCCCUGACUCCAACGUGUUUGACGCACAUUCCCUACCCAUACAUUGAAACCUUCAUCUGCAAGGACGAAUCCCAGUUAUUCUUCUGGAGAAUUUAAGAACCAUGAAUCACCUGGUCAAGAAAAGCCAGUAACCAAUUACAAUUGAGUUUGAAGCACAUAAGAGCCUAAUUUAAAAUGUAUCCCAUGGAUGUUCAUCAAUUUACACAAUAGUUAGUUUCAAGAAAGGAAAUUUCAACAGAACCUGAAAACUUCAGAUCAGGGGGCACCAAAUAGUGAGCUAUACAUUCAAAAUUUGAAAUAAUCAACUUAGUGGGACCAAUAUGUUGAAAAAAUUGGAAGGAGCUAUGAAAGUAAGGCUUUUCACUAAUCAGACGUCCAGAGAAUCAAUAUUUUACUCACGGAUCAGUUACGGGGAACACUCCCCACCAAAGCAAACUCUUUCGUCUGAAUCUGGAAAACAAGCAGCAGUGGAUUUUAACAGUCUGGGUAUCUCAAAGUUACUUUAAUCACAAAUUUAACAAUUAAACAUAUAAAUGGGCAUUAUUUAGUGAAAUAUUAGUAUAGUACUCACUGUGUGCUCGGAACAAGAGUACCCAGAAAGCUCAAUGAGCUGCGCACAGAGGACUACAGCGGUGAACGACAGCGACCGAUUCUGUAAAAUUCAGUCGAGUUUUGGGUGAUUUCGGAGGUCAAGAGGCUGAUAAGGAAAGCUGCGACCGAAGGGCACUGGUCUGGAAGAAAAGGCUCAGGUCACUGCUGUCCCAAUUCGCGAAGGAAGUGCCCCCAAAACAAUUUCGGCCCUGGACAGGUGCACUGUUUGCACUGGACCAGGGCCGGCCGGCCCAGGCGAUAACGUCCCCCAAACAGUACAUAUACAGAUGCUAGAAAUAUAUUAAUGUAACCUGAAACUACUAGAACCAUUCAAUUCUAGCGUCUACAGCUUUAGCAUUAGUUGGUACAUGGGACAUUCUUCCAAAGAGGGAGAUGAGCUCGUUGAGGCUCUUAUUUAUUCCCCCUCUUGAUGUGCCCUUCUAGGCUGCUAAUUCCAGACGAUCCAAUCUCAUACAUCUUCCCUGCAAAAGCAUGUGUGCCAGACUUCAAGAUCAAAUUUUUCCAACAAAAGAAACUUAAAGAUCAAACUCGCCAGCGGAAUAAAUGAUGCACAAGGGUGUUAAAAUCUUGACAUAUGUAUAUUUUUGGCAGAUUUUAUGUGAGCAUGCUACUAAAACUGGCAUCACUAAAGAUUGGUGGAAAACUUUAACAGUUUGAGUUGUAACUUCUCCAUUGUAUUUGUUAAGGCAAGAUGGAUGACAUCUAUGCAAUUUUCAGUAGAACUUAAAAGGCUGCAUAGCAGCUCUUGUUCGUUGUAUUGAAUACCGUGGUUUUACUGAUGAAUGCAGAGUUUGUUGAUGAUUCAUACGACAAGCAAUUGAAAAUCCCAUCAUUAUGCCCCACAUAUACCAAAAAAAAAAAGUCAUUUACACAAAUUCAGAGCGUUCAUCCACUGUAAUUUGCAGAUAUAGAAACGUUAAGAUAAAAGGAAAUGCAAAGUACCUUUCACCCAAAUUGGAGGAGCACCGGUGGCAUUAGCAAGUUAGCAACGGGAAUUGACAUACCAAUAUCUUCACAGUUUCUGCACAAGCACAAAUCAAAAGAACCCGGCGGUGGAGUUAUGUACCUCUCCUUGGAAAAUGCCACCUCUUGGGAUUUCAAAAUAUGCAGCCAUGGCUAGCCGUCUGACCACGCCAAUUCCACCAAAGCCACCGCAACGCGGCGUAGUGUCCGAUUGAUUGCUUCAAAACAGAGCUUCGUAUCCAUGUGUUUAUCAGCAGAGAGUACCCAAAACCACUGAAAAUUAUUUCUUUAUUCAGAUAAUAAAAUUUCCCAAAUUUGGAAAUUUAAUUCCGAAUCAAAAGUAGGGUUUGAAUUUUGAUUACCUAGAAAUUGGGGGGUUGGGGUGGAGAGGGACCCGUGCCACGACGGAUCUCUGUGUCUGUUUUAACUCAUGCCAAAUUAUAGAGAGUGUCAGGAAGACUUAAAUACUGAAGCCCCGUAAGCCGUUCAAUCCAGGGGGGAAGCUCUUUGAUAGAUGUUUUAUCCAAGAUAAGAUAUCUUAAUCCUUCCAUAUUUUCUUCAAUGCUUGGAAACACCUCAAAUUUUGUACAACCGGAAACAGAGAGACGGACAAGGGACUUGAGCUGACAAAUGCUGCUUGGAAGGCUCUUUAGUUCCUCGCAGUCGUUUAGCUUCAAAUAAGUCAAUCCCGUGAGAUUAUUAAUCGACCAUGGUAGUUCUUUAAUUUUUGAUCCGGAUAAAUUAAGAAAUUCUAACCCUUCAAUCACUUCUGUAAUCUCUGGAAACAUCUCAAGGCUCGAGCAACCAUAAAGAUCAAAGCUUUUGAGUGAUUUCAUACGAAUGCUGCUGGGAAGACUCUUAAGUUUCUUGCAGUAUAGUAGAUUCAAAUGACUCAACCCCGUAAGAUUAUUAAUUGAUGGGGGCAGUUCUUUAAUUUUUGAGCAGCGUAAAUCAAGCUUUUCUAACCCCUCAAUACCUUUUGACAUCGAUGGAAACAUCUCAAGACUGGAGCAGCCAUGAAGGUUCAAGGUUUUGAGACAUUUCAUACGAAUGCAGCCUGGAAGACUCUUAAGUUCCUUGCAAUCUUUUAGGUUGAAAUGACACAACCCCGUGAGAUUAUUAAUUGACAUGGGCAGUUCUUUAAUUUUUGACUCGGAUAAAUUAAGCUCUUCUAACUCCUCCAUACAUUUUGAAAUCUCUGGAAACAUCACAAGAUUGGAGCAGCCAUAAAGAUUAAAGGUUUUGAGAGAUCUCAUACGAAUUUUGCUGGGUAGACUCUCAAGUUCCUUGGAAAAUUCUAAGUUUAAAUGACUCAAUCCCGUGAGAUUAUUAAUUGACUCGGGCAGUACUUUAAUUUUUGACGCGGUUAAAUUAAGCUCUUCUAACUCCUCCAUACCUUCUGAAAUCUCUGGAAACAUCUCAAGAUUGGUGCAACCUCUUAGAUUAAAGGUUUUGAGAGAUUGCAUGCCAAUGUUGUUGGGUAGAAUCUUAAGUUCAUUGCACCAAUUCAGAUCUAAUAAAACAAGCUUUGUAAGAGUCAAAAUCGACCCGUGAACCUCAACUAAGCGUGUACAACUUUGAACAAUUAGCCUCUCAAGAUUUGGCACAUUUGUGAAGUCAGGGGUUAUCUCAAGGUUUUGACAAUGACUUAAAUUGAUGAAUUUCAACUUUUCCUGCGUCUGUUAAAACAUUCAGGAAAACAUGCAUUACUUAAUAAGACAUCUUACUCAAAGCCCAAACAUUUAAAAGAAACAAAUACAAGUAAAUGAUUGUACAUACCUGGGUUCCUUCCCAAAGUCGGUUAAUGAGACUACAUCGCAUGUCAAGUUCAACAAGAUUUUUGAAUUGAAAGUUGGAUGGCAAAGACUUGAGAGGGAAUUGAAACCAGGAGAGAUACCUCAAGUUAGGUAACUUAAAACGGAGCCCACUCAGGUGGUGUUUCCAGUAAUCACGUUUAAAAACGGAGCCCUCACUACUGAUCUUGAGAAGUCUUAGUUGAGUCAUACUAGCAAAAGCUUUAGCAUUUAAGCAUACCCGGUCUGAGUACGAGAAAUCCACGAUUAUGCUUUCAACUGUUUUCGUAGCCUGUGCAAAUCAAAGUAUUAGAAAAUACAAAGAACCUUAGUUUAGAUUAUGAAAUUAAUGCUUGUUUCUUAGGGAGCUGUUUGAUAAUCAUUUCGUUUUUAGUUUAAUUUUUUUUUCAAUUUUCAAUUAUUCAAACAAUGAAAACUAAAAAUUAAAAAUUGAAAACAAAAAUGGUUAUCAAAUGGCCUAAGAAAUUGAUUUUGGUCAAAAGUUGAAGCUUUCUACUAACAAUUGCAUAAGAAAAAGACUUCUCACCGUAUUUUGAGUUAGCAUUUGAUUAACAUCUUCAUAACUCCACAACCUACUUCGUUUCCCAGGCUCUUUGAUAGAUUCUUGACGGACGAUUUCCCGACCCAUUUCCUCUAAUGAAUCAUGCUUCUCCAGUUCCCCCUCCCCUGAGACAGUUAUGAGAGCAUGAUCGAUUAGAACUCUUAUUCCUAUAUGAGGAUGGAAACCACAAUCGUCCAUAAUUCGGGUUGCACAGUCUUUCUUCAUCCCUUUAAAGAAACAUGCAAUAUCUAGAAAGAUGUCUUUCACUGUGUCAUCUAGUCCAUCGAAGCUUGAUUUAAGCACAUCAUGAAUUCCCCUUUGCGGGAUUUUCCUUAUUUUUUCUAACUCAUCUUCCCACUCACGGAUAGUUUUUUUAAGAAGAAAAGCUCCCAAAACUUUGAGUGCUAAGGGCAGACCUUGAGCAUAUUUUACGACACGCUUAGAGAGAUCAUCAUAAUCUCUGGUGGGUUGGUUUUUUCGGAAGGCGUGCUGCCUAAAGAGUUUCAGAGCUCCAGAAUCACUCAAAGUCUUGGGAUUAUAUAUCACAUCAACUAUGCUUAGUAACUGUGAAUCUCUACUUGUUAUAAUAAUCCUACUUCCACCACCAAAGGAAUGUGGCUCUCCAAGUAAAGCAUCAAUUUGUUCUGAUUUGUCCACAUCAUCAACAACAAUAAGAACUUCUCUGACCAAGGCUUUUUAACAUCACCUGAAAACCUUUGUUCGAUAUGUCAGAGCUCCCCACCUUGUUGUCCGAGAUACUAGAUAGAAGUUGUGUCUGCAUAUGUAGUUCGCCGUGCUUCAUGAAACCCUCCUUGACAUUUUUAAGAAAGCAACAAGUUUCAAAUCGACUAGCGAUUUCAUCAUAAACAGCUCUAGCGAUGGUUGUUUUGCCUAAACCACCCAUACCCCAUAUUCCAACAACGCGAACAUUAUUCGUUUCAACUCCAGGAGGAUGUAAUAAUAAAUGCAUUUCAUGCAUAUGAGAAUCCAUGUCAACCAAGCCAUUCUCUUUCCUUGAUGAUGAUGAGAUGUCAAUCAAUUUCCGAUAAACAUAUUCUACAAUUUCCUCUACGAGCACCGCAUCACUCCUGUCAAAUUAAAAAAAAAAAAUAUAAUAACAACAAAAAAUAAUAAUUAAUAGGUCUUUUUCAUCUGUUAGUUUUAAAAAAACUAGAAAUUAAAACCAAAAUCUUGUUGUGGUCUAUUUUAUCUGACAGAGGGACUAGGGCCGGCGGCAGAGAGAGAGAGGAGAGAGAGGUGUGUUUGUAGAAUUGUAGGGGAAUGUGUGUGUUGUUAUCCCUCCUACAUUGUGCCUUUAUUUAUAGUAGUAAAGGGAGAGAAGAUAUUCCUUCUUCUCCAAGUAAUACAAGUUGUAAUAGGAAAGGAUAACUAGAAUCAAAUCUUAUCUAGGAUUUACACAAUCAUACUUAAACUAGGAAUGUUUACAACACUCCCCCUUGAGUGGGUAAAUACUCAAGGUAGAUUCAGCAUCAUGCAGAAGUUGAGGAAGUCGACUCGUCGGCAUUGAUUCCAAGGAACAACGCUUAUUCUCAAUAAGGUAGGAACUUGCAUAAGUAGUAAGUCUCACUAAAAAACCCUAAGGCUAUGGCAAAAACCCAAGUAGGGACAAAAUCCAUAGUCUAAGGAAAAAUGCGUGAGGAAUGCAAAGUCAAAAGAAACGUCUACAGGACAUCAUCAGGGAUAUGACCAGCCCAAGGUGGGUGCCUCGUUAAAACCUAGUUAGGUAGCAAAAACCCAGUGGGAAAAAUGCUCCUAAUCGUAGGGAAAAAGAGUACAUUAAGAUCAAGCAAGUAUCCAGAAGAAACUCCCCCUGAGUUUGACAUAAUUCCAAAGAGAAAUAGCAAAGUUACAACUCAGAAAGUUUUUACGCAUACCAAUUCCAUGAACAAGCUUCUAAAAACGUCGCCUUCGGUAGUGAUUUGGUGAAGAGGUCGGCCAGAUUGUCUUGUGAUCGGAUUUGCGUGACUUCAAUCUUCUGAUGCUCUUGUUGUUGAUGUGUAAAGAAGAACUUCGGCGCAAUAUGCUUGGUGUUGUCUCCUUUGAUGUAACCCUUCUUGAGCUGUUCGAUGCAAGCUGCGUUGUCUUCAAAAAUCGUCGUCGGGGCAUUAACGGCGGGAUGAAGAUCACAGGAGCUUCGAAUAUGGCCCACUACUGCUCUCAACCAAAAGCAUUCCCGAGUUGCUUCAUGUAAGGCGAGAAUUUCAGCAUGGUUAGACGAAGUGGCAACUAAGGUCUGUUUAGUUGACCUCCAAGAUAUUGCGGUGCCUCCAACGGUAAAGACAUAACCCGUUUGAAGAACGCGCCUUGUGCGGAUCAGAUAAGUAUCCAGUGUCGGCAUAACCAACAAGGCGAGAAUCAACCCGAUGAGCAUAGGGUGCGGCAUCACUCGAGGAUUCGUAGGGAUAAGAUAAAGCCCAAAUCCGUAGUACCCUUAAGGUAACGGAAGAUGUCUUUCACGCCAGUCCAAUGUCUGCGUGUUGGUGCAUUGCUGUAUCUUGCCAAAAGAUUAACAGCGAAGGAGAUGUCGGGUCUAGUGCAUUGAGCUAAGUACAAUAAAGCGCCUAUCGCACUUAGAUAAGGAACUUCAGGCUCCAAAAUCUCUUCAUCAUCCUCCUUCGGACGGAAGGGAUCUCGCUUUGCAUCUAGCGUACGAACGACCAUAGGAGUACUCGAAGGCUUCGCUUUAUCCUCAUUAAAACGGCGCAACACCUUCUGGGUGUAGUUCGAUUGAAGUACUAGGAUUCCAUCCGAACAAUGCUCUAUCUCGAGGCCGAGACAGUAUCGAGUCUUACCUAGAUCUUUCAUCUCAAAUUCCGACUUCAGGUGCGAAGCAGUUCUCGCGAGCUCUUCAGGAGUUCCGAUGAGAUUCAUGUCAUCGACAUAUACUGCAACAAUCGCAAAUCCGGAAUGUGACUUCUUAAUGAACACACAAGGGCAUAGUUCGUUAUUCACAUAUCCCUGACUAGUCAAAUACUCACUUAAACGGUUAUACCACAUUCUUCCGGAUUGUUUCAAACCGUAUAGUGAACGCCUCAGCCGAAUUGAGAGCGUGUUCCGAGGUUUGGAAAUAUUUGAACCAGUCAAUGUAAGUCCUUCGGGAACUUUCAUAUAAAUUUCCGUAUCAAGAUCCCCAUAGAGAUACGCGGUUACUACGUCCAUCAGCUGCAUAUCCAGUUUUUCGGAAACUACCAAACUGAUAAGGUAUCGAAAAGUAAUCACAUCCAUAACGGGUGAGUAAGUUUCGUCAUAGUCAAUCCCGGGGCGUUGUGAGAAACCUUGUGCUACAAGACGAGCUUUGUAACGCACAAUUUCGUUCUUCUCAUUACGCUUCCGAACGAAAACCCACUUGUAGCCAACGGGCUUCACAUGUGGAGGAGUAGGAACUACAGGUCCAAACACCUUACGUUUCGCAAGUGAAUCAAGUUCGACUUGGAUUGCUUGUUUCCAGUUUGACCAAUCAGCUCUACGUCGACAUUCAUCAACGGAACGCGGUUCAAUGUCAUCGCUCAACAUGAUCUCAGUAGCUACUGCAAAUGCUAAUGCAUCGUCGACAAUCAUCUCAUUUCUACGCCACACAUCAUCUAAGCUAGCAUAAUAGACCGAAAUCUCACGAUUCUCGGGAGGAGGAUUCGUCUCUUCAAGGACGCUUCCAUAAUCUAGAAUUUCCUCAUGAGUUGGGUAAAAUGAGUAAGCGAUAGUCGGAUUCACGGUAGGCUCUUCAGGACCUUGUGCCGUGGUUUUCCUCUUCCGGGGGUGUGAAUCCUUUGAACCAAGGGGUCUGCCACGCUUUUGUGUAGGGGCAGAUGAUUGGCUAGCCGCUAAUGUACGUGGAUCACCAGAAUUGGCGUCCCGGGCUUCCAGGAGGGUAGUCCGUCGUACAUUUGGUACAUCCAUCUUUGCAGGCGUUUUCGCAGCUGGAAUAUGUGAUCUUGUCACGCGCGCUAGAUCGGUGAAAGCAUCUGGCAUGCUCUGAGCUAUGCUCUGGAGAUCUAAUAUGCGCUGCACUUCAGCUUCAGACUGAGCGGUGCGGGGAUCUAAAUGAGACAAAGUGGGAGUCAUCCACGAUAAUUCGCGUCGUUCAUUAGGAACGUUGACGUUCUUAUCUCCCCCUAACGACGGGAAGACUGUCUCAUAGAAGUGACAAUCCGCGAAACGAGCGGUAAACAGAUCGCCUGUCAAAGGUUCUAAGUAACGAAUAAUCGAAGGAGAAUCAUAUCCGACAUAGAUUCCCAUCCUUCGCUGAGGCCCCAUUUUUGUACAUAAGGGCGGCGAGAUCGGCACAUAGACCGCACAACCAAAAACGCGCAGAUGAGAUAUGUCGGGUUCGCAUCCGGUGACCAACUGAAGGGCACUAAAUGGUUGUGUCGCAACAGGCCUCAGGCGGACCAACUUUGCUGCGUGCAAUAUUGCAUGGCCCCAAGCAGCGAUCGGGAGCUUGGUACGUAUGACCAACGAUCGAGCAAUCAUUUGUAAACGCUUAAUGAAAGCCUCUGCCAGGCCGUUCUGGGUGUGAACAUGGGGUACAGGAUGUUCAACUUCAACCCCAACCGACAUGCAAUAGUCAUCAAAAGUUUUAGAUGUGAAUUCUCCAGCAUUAUCCAAUCGAAUAGAUUUGAUCGGAUAAUCAGGGUGGUGAGCCCUGAGCUUGAUAACCUGAGCCAACAGUUUGGAGAAUGCAGCGUUCCUUGUGGACAACAAGCACACGUGUGACCAACGUGUAGAAGCGUCAACCAAAACCAUAAAAUAUCUAAAUGGUCCGCAGGGAGGUUGAAUCGGUCUACAAAUGUCCCCCUGAAUCCGUUGUAGAAAAAUGGGAGGAUUCGAACGAAUCUUGUCAUAAGAAGGCUUAGUAAUAAGCUUUCCCAUAGAACAUGUUUGACAUGCAAUUUCAUGGAUCGAACCUAAGCUUCGGGUUAGUGGAUGCCCGUGUGAAGUUUUGAGGAUACGGCGCAUCGCUAUUCGUCCAGGAUGUCCCAAACGAUCAUGCCAAAGUGUAAUUUCGUGCGCGGUCCCUGUGGUAGGGCCGGCCACAUAGUGGCAUUCUAUGGGGCGUAUGGUCGUAGUAUAUAGACCACUCGGGUUACGCGCCAUCUUCUCUAGAAUACGCUUCUGGCCAUAUUCGUAGGAAGUUACGCACAGAAAUUUAACUCCGUUUUCUACGUGGGUUUCAGCGUGGUAAUUGUUAUCUCUAAUGUCCUUGAAACUUAGUAACGUUCUUCCGGAACGUGGAGAAUAGAGUGCCUCAGCAAUGGUCAAGAUUGUACCAUUGGACAACAUUAUACGUGCCUUACCGUAUCCUUCGAUCAGGUUGGAUGGGCCUGAGGGGGUUGUCAGAGGUGCAUUCUUAGGUACGAAGUUAGUGAAAUAGAUGCGUUCACGCAAAACAGUAUGCGUGGUUGCACUAUCUGCCAGACAACUAACUUUCCCACUAUUCAUACCUAGAAUUAAUUUGAAUUGGUCACAUGCAUAAAAGUUUAUAAAACAAGUAUCAAUUCAAAAUAAUUUCAUUUAUUCAAGGAAAAAACUUAAUAUCCAAAAUAAAUCGCCAACUAAUAAUCCAAAACAUAAAGGAAAAUUGUUCAAAAUCAACCAAAAACAAGGUGGGGUUCGGCCACUAGGUGGAAUUCGGCCCCAAUUGUCUUAUUUUAACUGAAAAAUAAGUCUAUGUCUAAGAUUCUAAUCUUCCAUAGGAGUGGUAUCCUCCUGAAAAUCAGAAACCUCCAUCUUUGUAAUCUCCGGUUCGUCCACUUGCAGGAAGUUUGAUUCAAACUUCGUACAACGAGAAUGAUAUGCAUCCACAACCUUCUUGGGAGUACGGCAAAUACGGGACCAAUGGUCCUUGGAACCACAACGAUAGCACAUAUCGUCAUUCAUUGUGGCAGGUGCUUUGCCCUUAUUCUUGAAGUUCGGGGCCUUGGGAGUGAGGUUUGGGCGCUUCUGGGCUUUGUUUCCUCCCUUGGAUGGGCCUUGGCUCUGUUGACCUUGGUGGGAUGGCUUCUGGCCGCCCUUACCACGCCUCUUUUGGCGUUUUGGGUGCUGAUUAGUGCUAUAAUGUGCUUCAGGCACAGCAGUAGCCCCAGUAGGUCGAGCUUGAUGAUUUUUCAUCAACAGCUGGUUCUGCUUUUCAGCAAGAAGUAAAACAGAGAUCAAAUCAGAGAACUUAGUGAACUUCUGAGCUCUAUAUUGUUGCUGCAGGACAAUAUUAGAAGCAGAGAAGGUCGAGUAGGUCUUCUCCAGGAGAUCCUCUUCAGUCAAAGUUUCAUUGCAAAACUUGAGAAGUGAUCGGAUUCGACAAACUUCAGAAUUAUAUUCAUUCACAGACUUAAAGUCUUGGAAGCGCAAGUGCUGCCAGUCGUGUCUUGCUUCAGGCAAGAAUAUGUCCUUUUGGUGAUUGAAACGAUCAGCCAAAGCGACCCAUAAUGCACGUGGAUCCUCCUCAGCAAGGUACUCAGUUUGUAGAGCGUCAUGGAUAUGUCUUCGGAUGAAGAUCAUAGCAGUGGCUUUUUCAGCCUCGCCAACAGGUUUAUCUGUUACUUCUUCAAUAGCAGGACGCAAGUUCUUUGCAGUGAGGUGGAGCUUCACAUCUUGAACCCACUUGAGGUAGUUCCUUCCAGAAACCUCCAAAGCGGUGAAGUCGAGUUUGUUCAAAUUCGACAUGUUCCUAUCACAAAAUGGAUGAACAAGAUGUGGUUAGUGUAAUGGAGAAAAAUCAAUCCAUUCACAUAGGAGUAGAACAUACAGGUUCUAAUAGACAUGUAUUGGUUUAAUUUUGCAUGAAAAACUUCGGGUUUUCAUGGGUGAUAUAUUUAAGUGAAAACUUCGGGUUUUCAAACAAGGCAUGUGUAUAAGAAACUUUGGGUUUCAAAGUAAUUAUGAACUUCAGGUUCAUAUAUUCCUGCAGGCAAACACAAAUAUAUAUGCAAACAAAUAUGCAAAGAAUAUAUGUAGAAAUAUUGUAUAAUGAUAAGUGAAUUAAUUUAUUUUUGGUCUUCGGGGCCAAAUUAAAGUGUGGGUGAAAAUAUAAAAACCCAUAUUAUUUAAAAAAAAUUAAAUAAUAAAAUCUCGGGGCCUAAAAAUAUAGGCCAAGAACCCUCGGGUGGGAUUACAGGCCCACGGGGUGAGAAAAGGGGAAUGGGCUGCUGUGUGCAGCCCUAAAAUUUUUUUUUUCUCGGGCCGUUCCAGGCGAGCCCAUAAUUUUUUUUUUCUUUUCGGGCCGUUCCAGGCGAGCCCAGAAACUUUUUUUUUUUUUUUUUAAUUUAGAUGCAUAUAUAAUUCAAUGAAUCACAUAUUUACUUUGAUGCAUAUGCAAAUAAUAGUUUCAAUGCAUGUACAUAUGUAAGAUUCAAUUCAUGGCAAAUAUCAAAUUCACAUAAUUGUAGCAAUUUUGAUUAUGAAGCAUACACAAUUUAUGUAGAAUCUAAAAUACGUAAAACGUAAAGUUGGGUCAUGCAUCAUGGUGAAUGUUCAUGCUAUCAGGGCUUGCAAAAUAUCGAGUUAAAAGCCGUUGUUUGGAAAGAACCUGAUUGCGUGAUGAUAUGGAUGAACUGGUUUGAUGCAGAAAAAAUCUCCAACGUCAGAUUCCUAAGCGCAACGGUAGGAGCGUGCUGAUAACGUGUUGUGGUCUAUUUUAUCUGACAGAGGGACUAGGGCCGGCGGCAGAGAGAGAGAGGAGAGAGAGGUGUGUUUGUAGAAUUGUAGGGGAAUGUGUGUGUUGUUAUCCCUCCUACAUUGUGCCUUUAUUUAUAGUAGUAAAGGGAGAGAAGAUAUUCCUUCUUCUCCAAGUAAUACAAGUUGUAAUAGGAAAGGAUAACUAGAAUCAAAUCUUAUCUAGGAUUUACACAAUCAUACUUAAACUAGGAAUGUUUACAACAAAUCUAAAUAUUUGUCAAAUUAUCUAAAUAUAUAAAGAGAGAGCCCCAGUUUGGUGAAGCAUUCCAAAAUGCCAAGAAUAUCCCUAUGUUUCCUUCACAAUCAAAAUCCAAAAAAUCCAAAAAAAAGGAGGACAAACUGGUAAAAAACUUAUAACCGAACAUAAAAUUGUAUUGAAAGAAAAAACUAAAUUUUUACUAAAAAUUGAGAGCAAGAAAUACAAAAAAAAAAAACAAAAAAAAGGGAAAUUAAACCGAAUACUGGUAGAACAAGUCCACGUAAUUGAUAAUUGACGAAUGCAAUGUUGGUAACUGGUCUUGAUUUAAAAUAAAAAGUUGAAAACACAAAGAGACAGAUGCAGUAAAAAACACCAAUAAAAAACAAAAUAAAAAAAAAAAUAUUGGAAACUGAGGAAAGAAACGUGGGAGAGAGACUGCUGUUUUCAAACUGCAUUAAGUUUAAAGGCUCUCAUGUUAUUGCUAAUGGAAUAAAACAAAAAAGAAAAUAAAAAGAGACCUAAUACGUUUAGAAUAGAACUGCUAUUCGACAGUUGCAGGCUUGAAGUGUGUGAAGGAAACAGUUUUGAAGAACGAUAAACUCGAACGUUCAUGAAAAUAAAAGCGAACGUGGGAGAGGAACCAGUUUUGCGGGACAUGUAAAUAAAACACAAAAUAAAAUAACCUCAAGAGAAUAAAUUGAAAUUGUUGUGCCAGAGCCUGAAGGAGAAGAUCAAAUUGGCGAAAACCAACAAGAACUGGUAGUUCUGUAGUUCUCAAUUAUUAAAUUUGUGUGUUUUGUUCUCUAUCAAAAUGCUUCUUAUUCCUUAAUCUUCUCAUGCAUUUUCACAUGAUUAUUGAAAAUUCUGCACGUUAAUUGUAAUGGUUUGAUUGUGGUUUUUGUUCUCUGCAGGUUUUUCUUCCCUUAUCUUAUCAAAUAAAUCAAUUGAUAGGUUAGGCUUUCAUUUUUUUUUCUUCACAGGACUUUUAAGGACAUCCUCAAGUCAAAGUGAUGGAAUCAAAGUCUUCAGGUUUGGAUGCUUUUUUCCUUCUCUUUUUAGAGUAAUUUUCGAGUUUCUUCUCGCAUUUUUCGGGUUCCUUUCCCCAGUCCCCCAAAAUAACAAUAACAAAUUAGGCUUCUUCAUUUUUAGACUCUCUUGGGGUUGGCAGAUAAGGGGUUGCUUGCAUUUAAACCUCACCGUCCGGCUUCUUCUUUCUUAUGAAUUUUUAUCCCUUUCCUACGGCCAGUUCGUGAAGGCCGUUUUCAAAUUGAGGUUUUGUAUAUUCUGUCUCUUAAGAUUUGAUUCUUUCUAUUUUGGAUUAUUUUUUGUCUGAUUUCUCAAACAAUUUGGCUAAUGAAGAGUUUAUGGAUAUACAAUGGGACAAUAUUAUUUUCUCUCUGUUUUAUGUGUUUAUUUAGUUUUACUGUAGUUUUCAUCUAUGCCUUGAGUUUUGGCUUCUCUAUCUUUUUAUCUUUUGUAGCGUUCCAGGUAAAUGGUGAGAAUUAUUCAAGUAUGCGACAUCAUUUUAGUUUCAUGUGAAAAAUCUUCUCUUAUAAUUUUGUUUGAGUGAUUGAAUGUGCAUAUGUGAGCUCUAAGGUUUGGUUCCAUAUUUAUUGUUGAAGAAAAACAGGAAGUGAGGAACACAAUAACCCUACCACGAUUAUGUAUGAAAUAAAUUGGAUCUAUUAAAAACUCAUAUUUUGGGUGUGUUGUUAGGAAGAAAUGCCUAAACUCCGAAUUUGUAUGGAACAUACUCAUUAUAGAAUAGAUUAAUUGUAUGUGUUAUUGCUUUUAGUACUAAAAUUGACUUAUUUGCCCUCCUACAAGUCAUAGCUUUGCUAAUAAAUUGAGAACAAUGUCUGAUUUAGUUUUUUUUUUUUGUCGAAAUGUCUUAUUAGUUUAACUCUUUUCAUUUGAUAAUUCUCUUGCCCUUGGUUUGAGAUAUAAAGUAUUUCAUUUCAGUCAUCAAGUGUCACAGCCUGUCCCGAAAUAUUUUAUUGAUGUUGUGAAAUGACGAAACUGCCUUUGAGCGUUUUUUGACAUUUAAACUUUAGGGUUUGUUUUGGUAACCAUGGUUGUGUUUAGGGUUAGGUGGAAGUGUGAGGACACACACAUCACCCUUUCCCUUUCUUUCUCUUCUCUCCCGUGCACUCUCUCUCUCUCGGAAACACUCUCCCUCUCGGAAACACUCUCCCUCUCUUCCUUCUUUGUACGGACAACAUCAAAACCCUCUCAAACCUUGUAGAUCGAGGGUGUAAAGAACACCAUUGGGUUCGUGAGGAUCAUACAAGUCAAAAGGUACCAGUUUCAGGUAAGGAAACCUUCGAUUUCCCGUGAAAACCCUAACCCUCCGAUUUUGUCACUGUUUAUGCUCAUGUAAAACCUUGUGUUUUAGGGGAUUUUAAGCUCAUAGGGAGCUUUAGGAGGUCCUAAGGAAGAUCAGAGUGGUUUGUUGGAAGAAUUUGGACGUCGAAAUAGUGAGAUCGACGAGUUGCAGGGUUUGGCCUGAUUAUCGAGGUUUUUUUCCAGCGAGUUGGAGGUCGAGGCAUGUAUGGUUUUGUUCGUCUUUGUGAGAUCUUCAAAUUGGUUCAAAUUUCAUUGAAAAUGGUGCAAAAAUGAAGAAGUUAUAGGCAUUAGAAAUUUUUCCAUAAACCGGUGACUCACCGGAGAAGAAAGGAGUUGACGGAAUAUACUAACGGCGUCAUGUAUCUUUAACAGAUUCAGUUAGUUUUAACGGAAUAUUCCUGACGGCGUUAACUGACGCCGUCAGUGUGCCAAGCACAUGGGCGCACGUGGGGGCGCAUCUGGCCGUGCCUUGGCCACGUGGGUGAUCAGAAAAUUAUUCUAAAAAUAUGGGGAUGUUUCUGAGGUUGUGUAGAUCAUUUUGGUAUAUUCAAACACCCCGAUUGAGCAUUGUAUGAGAAGUUGUUACCAAGUUUUGUGUUUGUGCUUUAAAAGUAACGUUUAUAUAGUUGUUUCGCAUAUAGGUGAGACCUAUCCCGAGGACGAGCGAAGUCAGGGGCAACUCGGGGGUUACGACCCUUCCACAUACCAGUGAGUAUAUAUAUAUAUUGAAUAUUUUCCUAGAAAAGCGAUUUAAAUGUGUGAAAUCCCGUUUCUGGAUUUCAUUGUUAUCACCUACAUAUUUGUAUUAUUGAGAUUUUAUAUUAUUUCUCGAGAAUUUAUUUUAAUUUGUUUGAAUUUAAAUUUAAAUUAAAUUAGUUAUUAACGUUUGAAGUUUGAGGCAUUUUAGAAAUAAAUAGAAAAAUCUGAAAUUUUCUUAUGAAAUCUGGUGUGCCACAUGGGUGGCCCAGAUUCAAUGGAAAGGAAAAUGGAUGGUGGAGAUGCAAAGGAAAGGAUUUAAAAGAGAGUGGGCGCUGCCCAGUUAGGAGGGGGGAGAGAAAGAGGUGACCAAUUGGGCGAAGAGGAAAGGAGAGUAAGGAGAGAAGAAGAGGAAGAGGGAACCGGCCGGGGUUUACUAUGGCCCAUGACCCGACCCGGUUAUAUCUCCCAACUCCGGCCACCAUGGACGGCUAGGAUGGUGUCAAAAUGAUCCUUAGCUCGAGGCCAAUCGAUCUCUCUUCCAUUUCUACACUUAAAACGACGAGGGGGAGUCCAAUUUUGAGGAAAUACCACGGUGGGUGCGUCGGGCUUAUGUGGAAAUCCAUUAAAUCUUGAAACGUUUUCUUCCAAUUACAACCACCCAUAGCAUCCUCAUGAGGCCUAGAACAAAGCCCAGACAAGUUUGGGGGCGGCAGAGUUGUUUUCGAGUCGGAUCGAACACACCUAAAAACAAGGGUUCCGUACGGUUCGAGUGAAAUUGGGGAUUUUCCCGGCCAAAUUGGACUUGGCCACAGGUAUAAAAAUUGCUAUACUCAUUGAAAUCUUCAUUUCUGUAAAUUUUGAUAAUUUUUAAAAAUAGUUGAAUUUUUCCGGCAAGUCGGGGCGGCCGACGGCCACCCGUGGCGGCGAGUGCGGCGGUUUCCUGGCCAGUGGGCCGAAAAUAUCAUUUUAAGUUCAAUUAGAUGUCUUGAUUUCAUAAUUGAUAUCCUUAUGAUAUGGUUUGAUUGUUUGAACCUAAUUUCAUUACGAUACGUGGUUAGGUCAAAAUAUGAUUCGACGAUCCUACCGUUGGAUCGUCACCAAACCUUAAUGCGUGAUAGAACAUAAUAUUUUUGGAUCAUAGAAACUUACGGAUCGAGAAUCUGACGUACGGAUCUUCCCUAAUUGGAUUUCUAAGUUUGUAAAAUUAAAUGUCGACCGCCACUUGAAUUUUGAAAUUGGCGGAGAUCCAACUGUCGGAUCAUGUUGAGAUUUCAGUAUGUUGUUAUUUGAGCAUAAUGUGGACUUUGGAAAGUUUCGGAUCGGAAAUCCGAGGUGCGGAUCUUCCGAAUCAAAUUACAUAAGUUUGUGGACCCUACUGUUGAUCGAGAGUUGACUUUUGCUCAACAUGUCAUGAAACGUCCUAAUUACUAAAAUUAGUACUACAGGGGAACUAGGUGAAGUCUAGUGGGCAUGCAUUGAUUAGAGAGUGACUUGAAUAUAUGUGAUAUGAUUAUUACCUUAAUUUCCUAUUAGUAUCCUUUGUGAAGAUGAAUUGGUUUUAUAAAUGUGAUUUCUAUUGAAAUGUGAUUUUUAUAUAUUUAGCCAUAGGCCUAUGAUUAUUAAACAUGAUUUGGCUUGGUACUGAUGAUGGUUGUGACAUAUGUGAGUUAAAUUAUCUUUUUAGUAAUGUGAAUGAUGUGUAUGAUUAUUUUCAUGACAAUGUGAUCCUAGAAUCCUAUUAAAAGUAUGUUGUAGCACUUAUAUGCUUGGGUGCCAUAUUAGUGGUGACCUUGAGAAGUUGAUGGUGUAGGUGACUACGUUGUAACUCAUAGGGUUGAGAUGUGAUGUGGAUAAGUUGAGGUGUUGAAAUUACUACACCAUGUAGUAGUUGUACAUUGAUGGUCCUGCUUGGUAUAUCCGCAUUGGGGGACCAUACGCAUUCUAGGAGUGAUCAUGCUUGGUAUAUCUGCAUUGGGUGAUCACUACCUACCUGAUUAUCUUGACCCUGCUUGGUUAAUCCGCAUUGGGGGGUCACAAGUGGUCCUGCUUGGUUAACCCGCAUUGGGGGACCAUACUUUAUAUGGAUCGCGCUUGGUUAAACCGCGUUGGGCGAUCCUUAUGGCCAUGUAUGCUUAGGAGUGAUCAUGCUUGGUAUAUCCGUAUUGGGUGAUCACUGCCUAGGAUAUUAAACUAUGCAUACGGUUUUGCUUGGUAUAUCCGCGUUGGGGGACCAUAUGCAUUCUAAAAGUAAGGAGGAUUAGUUGUGUUGAUGCACAAAAUCAGCGAAGACUUUGGUACAACAGAAAGUGUCAGGUUUUGUGACCUUCGCUUGGUUGCUUCGGUCACUAGUGAGGAUAAAUACGUAAAUAAAUAGAGACAGAGAAGCAAACACAGGAUGUACGUGGUUCACCCAGAUUGGCUACGUCCACGGAGUAGAGGAGUUCUUAUUAGUAGUGAAGGGCUUACACAAGUACAAAGGAUCAAGCUCUCAAUUUAGUGAGUUCUUGUGAAUGAUUUACACAAAAUGGCAUUAGGCAAUAUUGUGGGGGAAUGACCCCUAUUUAUAGAAAAACUUGUAGCUUUGUCACAUUGACAUGUGUCAUGUUAUGAUUGGUUCUUGAUGUUGACACGUGCUGCGCUCUGAUUGGCUUCUAAUCCUGACACGUGUCGAGUAGUGAUUGGCCUCCUGGUCGGAGGGGAACUCUUCUGGGUCCUUGACAGUAUAGCGUUGGCUGGUACUCGGUAGUUUCGGGAUUGGUCAAGUAUGGUACAAACAGUGCUCCCCUAAGUUCCCGAGUGAGGGAAACUCCUCGGUUGGGGACUUGCAAGAUCCAAUCCCUUGAGUAAUCACGAAACUUCUAAGUACCGAAGUGUGGUCUGAUCUUCAUCUGCCCUUCUCUGGAAGUACCUUUCCUCCAUCCGGGAAUGGUGUAUUUAGCUGAUGUUGACGCACAAGCUAAUGUAUCAAUUUCACUUGAAGCUUAGUUGUAGUUUCGGGCUUAGUCAAGUGUGAUACAAACCCUAUAGUAGGAGUCCCCCAAGUCGCCGAGCUAGGAGAUCUGCCGAAAGAGGUGACAGACAAGGUAAGCAGUCAAACUUCCAAGUAAGCAACCCAGGAUCAGAGGUUUGACUUCGGCUUCCGGUUGAUUGUUCUCAUUCUCCUUGUCUCUCAUUCAACUGCCAGGAUAAGGAGAAGCAAAUGGAUAAGAGAUGAUAUGAGAUACUUUUGCUUUUGAAGAAGUAACUUUCCACAGGCUUAUUCUUGAACUGUGCUGGAGGGUUUUCUGGUGCCCUUCAGAGUAUAAGGCCAACUCAAAAAUUUGAGGGUCAAAACAAGUCCAUCAAAUCUAGAGUACGUUCGACCUUGAUGAUAUGGGAUACUUUUGCUGUUGACGGAAUAAUGAAUGUGGUAUGGAAAGGUGUCGUGCUGUAGUGAUCUGUUUCAGCUCACCGUUUGAACCUUCUGCUUCAAUCUUUUGCAUGGCAGAAGUGGUGUGCAACCUUUGCAUUUAAAUGGUCCUUCAGAACAUUCCUUCAUAGUGACUCAUCCACGCUUGGCAGCUUCAGUGUAAAGAGCCAAUAUCUGAUCAACUGUCAUGAGGUAUUUGCCGGUGGAAUUCGUGACCUUGACAGCAGUUGAGGAUGAGUACUCGAGAGCAAUGCUAAGUAAGCAACCAGGCAAAGGCUCCAGGCAGUCAGUUCCAAAUUGGAGGUUUGAUUUCAGGUUCCGACUGACUGCUCUCUUUCUCCUUGUCCUGCAGGUGUGGACAAGGACAAAGACAAAGACAGGGAGAAAGCAUGAUAUGGGAUACUCUUGCUUUCGAUCCUGAUGAUAUGAGAUACUCUUGUUCUUGGUGUGGCUUAUUUGCUGAGGUAUUAUCGGGGGGAAAUAAAGCUGAGUAUUUCGAGAGGUUAUGUUGAGGGUGCCUUUUCGAAUGCGAGAAAGGGUUGAGCAUUUUUGCAGGUUUGCCUGUCCGUUGAGGAGGGAGGUCAAUGUAUAUAGGGAUUUCCCAAUAACAAGUAGUAAUGCUAUUCCUUUACCCUUCUUGGUCACAGCAAUGUAGUGGGAGCUGCCAGCUUCACGUGUUUUAAUUUUGUCAGAGCACUUUGAAAAAAGUGGUAUGUGGUAUCUGGAAAGCUGAUGUUACGUGUGAAGAUUACAGACAAGCUUUAUCUAAGGAAAUCUGGCUCUCGAAGUUCUGAGAGUUGUGCCUCUUCGGUUUUCGAACAAGCAAUCCCGUCGAGGAUCUGACUCUCGAGAUUCGGAAAGCGGUGCUACUCCGGUUUUUUAGAAAGUAAUUAUGUUGGGAGUCUUUUCUUGAAUGUGAGUAAAGGUUGGACGUUCUUGCCAACCUGUCUUGCCGCAAAACACGGAGGUCGACACACAUAGGGACUUUCCAGUUGUCAAGCAGUGGUGCUGUUCCUUUACCCUUAUGGGUAAUAGUAGGGUAGCUGGAACUUCGAAAUUCUCGUGCCUAAACUUUGUCAGAGAUCUUUGACAAAGUUAUAUGUGGUACCCGAUGAGUUGAUGGUGCAUAUGGAGAGCGGUGAUUGAACAGUAAGAUUCACGUGCUUUCUACUUCACCAGAAAUCUUCGACAGAUUGCCCGUAAUUUCUGCAAAGCUGAGUGUGCAUGUGACAGGUGCUGACGAGGCUGAAAAAGCAGGUGCUUCUUUGAUUUCUGAGAUCGGCCCUCGUGGUCUCUGAGCAGCCCAGCUUUUGAGAAAGCAAACGCCUCUUCGAUUUCUGAAGCUCCGUCGAGUGCAGAUUUUUAUAGAGGCUGGCAUUAAGUUCCACAGCACACUUGAAUCUCUACCAGUAGAAGCUCAUUUCUUGCACUUCUAAGAUCUUGAUUUGUCUGACCUCUUCCCUCUUCAACACAUUUGAAAAUGUCUGGACCCUCCGACCGUCGUUUUGACUUGAACCUUGGAGAAGAGACAGCCACGCCUUCUCCAGACAACAUAUGGCGCCCAUCAUUCAUAUCCCCUACCGGUCCUCUUACCGUUGGGGAUUCUGUGAUGAAGAAUGAUAUGACCGCUGCAGUGGUGGCCAGGAACCUUCUCACUCCCAAAGAUAACAUACUACUUUCCAAACGGUCUGAUGAGUUGGCUGUUAAGGACUCUUUGGCCCUUAGUGUUCAGUGUGCAGGUUCUGUGUCUAAUAUGGCCCAACGCCUAUUUGCUAGAACCCGCCAAGUUGAAUCAUAUUGGCUGCUGAAGUGAUGAGUCUCAAACAGGAGAUUAGAGGGCUCAAGCAUGAGAAUAAGCAGUUGCACCGGCUCGCCCAUGACUAUGCUACAAACAUGAAGAGGAAGCUUGACCAGAUGAAGGAAUCUGAUGGUAAGGUUUUACUUGAUCAUCAGCGGUUUGUGGGUUUGUUCCAAAGGCAUUUAUUGCCUUCGUUCCUCUGGGGCUGUACCUGGUAAUGAAGCUUCAAAUGAUGAACCUCCAAUGCCUCCUCCUUCUGGGGUUUUGUCAAGUACUGAGGCUCCGGAUAACCACCCUCCGGUGCUUUCUCUUUCUGGGGCUCUACCGACUGCUGAGACUUCCCCUAAGCAACCUUUGUGAAGGCUCCCUUUUGUUUGUUUAUUUUGACUCAUGUAUAUGUACAUAUUUGUGGCUUAUCGAAAAUAUUAAUAAAAUAAGCUUUGCUUCAUUUCAACAUAUUGUGUUAAAUACACCAAAGCCUUCUUCAUAAAGUUCUUUGAAUUUUUGCUUUUGUUGAAACCUGUAUUGUUGAAGCUUUGUGAGUGAAGCAUGUAGUUUGAGGUAGUGUUCCCUUAAUUUCUCGAGUGAGGAAAACUUCUCGGUUGGAGACUUGAAAAAUCCAAGUCACUGAGUGGUUGUGAGACUGCCGAGUAUCAAGGUGCAGUAGCAUAUGGUGGGAGUCCCCCAAGUCUUCAGGCGAAGAGAGUUGCCGAAUGAGGUGUCUCGCGUGUUACUAAUUUGUCAAAGUAACGAAUUCUUGUUUCGAUGUCACACAUUCGUAUAUGCUUUAUCUAAAAAAUAUUUCCAACUUUUGUGUGUGUUUGAUGCUGCAUGCUAUUGACUAGACAAGAUCAAGUGCAAUUAGUAGCUUUCUCUCUUUUUCAUCUUUUCUUUGGUGGAAUUGCUUUUCGUUUCCACUAAUCAGCCUGAGUGGAUGCAAGAUAACACCUUUCUCUAUAGCUCAGAUUGCAAAGUCGUCUUCAUGAAAGUUUUUCCUUAUCUUGUGAACUACAAUAUAUCCAAAUUUGAGAUCCAUCGGAGUAGUACAACUUCAGAAAUUCAAGUAUGAUGAGUAACUGUUCAUCAAUGUUCUGUUAAUCCGUCAGACUUGUUGUGAGCUUCGAAACUCCAUUUUCUCUUGUUCAGAUCAACAUACUUUCUUUCUUCAUCGAAGUUGUUCCUCAGCUUGUGAACUACAACAUAUCCAAAUUUGAGAUCCCUCGGAGCAGUAUAACUCCAGAAAUCCAGGUAUGAUGAAUGACUGGUUAUUAUUUUUCUGUCAACCCGUCAGAUUUGUUGUGAGCUUCGAAACUCCAUUUUCUCUUGUUCAGAUCGGUAUGCUUUUCUUCAUUGAAGUUGUUCCUCAGCUCGUGAACUACAACAUAUCCAAAUUUGAGAUCCCUCGGAGCAGUAUAACUCCAGAAAUCCAGGUAUGAUGAAUGACUGGUUAUUAUUUUUCUGUCAACCCGUCAGAUUUGUUGUGAGCUUCGAAACUCCAUUUUCUAUUGUUCAGAUCGGCAUGCUUUCUUCAUUGAAGUUGUUCCUCAUCGUCUCUUUCAUAACAUAUCAAAAAUUCAGAAUGAACUAAUGGUUAAAUAUUUCCAGAUCUUUGAAACAUCACAGCAGCUUCGAAAUCUGCAAGAAUCCGACUGUCAUGUUUGGAACUUCAACACUUUAAUUUCCGUCGCUCAAACAGAAAUGGUUCCUUCUUGAAAGUUGUUCAUAUGCUCAAGAACUAUAGGGUGUCCAAAAUUCAGCUCCAUUGGAGAAGAGCAGAGGUUGCAGAAAUUUGAUAGAUGAAAGGAGGCGGAAGAGGGAGAGAGAGAAAAAGUCUCUUGGGUUGGAUUUCUAUUUUGGGGCAGAUUCCAAUUUUUGUAGCACCUUCAUUAUUGAUGAAUUGCUUGUACUUUUGUCCAUUAUGAAACUUGGGACUUUGGCUUGUUGUUGGAUCUAUUAUAAUAUGUUUGGGAACAUAUAUAAGUGAAUAAAUAAGAAGGAAAAUUUUGGGCCCUUGUGGGUGUAAAACAAAAAAUGUUUAUGUUUACCCAAGUGGUUUUGUGAACAAAAUUUGUUUAUUUGGAGCAAGGUUUUGUGUUGAAGCUUUGUAGGUGAAGCUUUGUAGAUGAAGCUUUCGAGGUGAAGCUUUGAUGGUGAAGCUUUGUAGAUGAAGCUUUCUGGGUGAAGCUUUGAUGGUGAAGCUUUGUAGAUGAAGCUUUCGAGGUGAAGCUUUGAUGGUGAAGCUUUGUAGAUGAAGCUUUCUGGGUGAAGCUUUGAUGGUGAAGCUUUGUAGAUGAAAGUAUGUAGAGGGAGCUUUCUAGGUGAAGAUUUUUUAGGUGAAGCUUUGUAGGUGAAGCUUUUUUAAGUGAAGCUUUUCGGGUGAAGUUUUUGUUGGGUGAAGCUUUGUGGGUGAAGCUUUUUAGGUGAAGCUUUGUGGGUGAAGCUUUGGAGGUGAAGCUUUUCGGGUGAAGCUUUUUGGAUGAAGCUUUUUUUUUUUUUUUUUUUUUUUUUUUUUUUUUUUUUGGCGCUUGACACGGUCUUCAUUUGCUUGUUUUGUAGUGACUGUGGAAGACGGAUUGCUUUCUGAAUUGAGAAGGGUUCCGGCAUCGCUUGCUAUGAAUGUAAAAGAGUGAGGGCUGAGUUGGCUAAAUUACCUCUUUAUUGAAUUCAUUGCCAAAUGGCCUUCAUUACAUAGGAUGCCGAACGGCUAUAGCUCAACACUUGUACAUCGUGAGUCUAUUUGUAGUAGUACUUCAAGUGAUCAGCGUUCCAUGGAUGGCCAAGGGUCUUGCCAUCGGAGCUUCUAAGUGUGUAAGAGCCAGGGCGACUGAUGCCAAUGACUUCAUACGGUCCAUCCCAGUUUGGACUAAGUGUGCCUUCACUCGGGACUCUGUCGCAGAGUAAUCUUUUCUUUUAAGACCCAGUCUCCUAUUUUGAAAGAACGAGGCUUGACCCUAGAGUCAUAAUAGUUGGAGAUGCGCUGCUUGUAGGCGACAUUCCUCAAGUGAGCUUGGUUUCUGUGUUCCUCGACUAAAUCCAAGUUGAGGGUGAGUUGUUUGUCAUUUUCACUUUGAAUGUAGUUCUGGACUCGGAAUGUUGCUUGCUCGAGCUCAACAGGGACAACCGCCUCUGUGCCAAAGGCAAGUGAGAAUGGAGUUUCUCCUGUUGAAGUCCGAUAUGAAGUGCGAUAUGACCAAAGAACUUGGGGUACAAAUUCUGGCCAACAGCCUUUAGCUUUGUCCAAGCUGGUUUUCAAAGUGCGCUUGAUUAUUUUGUUGAUGGCCUCAACUUGUCCAUUAGACUGGGGAUGAGCUGGAGAGGCAAAGCAUAAGUUGAUGUUGAACUUAGAGCAGAACAACCUGAACUUCUUGUUGUCAAACUGUCGCCCAUUGUCAGUGACUAUCGCAUUGGGAAUGCCGAAUCUACAAAGGAUGUUCUUCCACACGAAGUCUUCUAUCUUUGCCUCAGUAAUGGUUGCCAAGGGUUCUACUUCGGCCCACUUUGUGAAGUAGUCCACUGCAACGACUGCGUAACAGACUUUGCCCUUCCCUGCCGGCAUUGGGCCGAUCAAAUCAAGUCCCCACUGGGCGAAGGGCCAAGGGCUGAUCAUAGGAGUAAGAGGCUCUGGAGGGGAAUGAGGAAUAGUUGCAUAUCGUUGACAUUUGUCACAUGAGCGGGAUACUUUGAUGGCAUCCUGGUGGAGUGUUGGCCAGUAAUAUCCUUGGCGAAAAGUCUUGUGUGCUAGGGACCGAGAUCCAGCAUGAUCUCCACAGACUCCCUCAUGUAUUUCCCGAAGGACGAUUUCCGCCUCGGCAGGCGUAAGACACCUUAAGUAUGGCAGGCUAAAACCUCGCUUAUAGAGUUGAUCAUUGAUGAUCAGGUAGCGGGUAGACUUGUAUCGAAUUUGCUUAGCCUGGACUUUAUCAUUUGGGAGGGUGCCAUGAGCAAGGAAAUUAUAGAUCGGGGUGAUCCAACUAUCCCCCUGUUGUAAGUUGCAUACUUCUGCGGCCAUGGUGCUUGGUGUUGCCAACAGUUCGACAUGAAUUUUUCUUCCAAUCUUGUCUUCCACAGCUGAGGCGAGGCGAGCCAGGGCGUCUGCAUGACUGUUUGCCGCUCGAGGAACUUGGGUGAUCUGGUAGUGGAAGUGCUUGAGUAAAAGUUGUGUUUGCGCAAGAUAUGCUGCCAUGGAGCUGUCCUUAGCAUCAAAGUUGUUGGUAACCUGGUUGACCACUAAUUGGGAGUCACUGAAAAUAUCAAUUUGUUUAACCCCGAGGUGUUUGGCCAAACGUAAUCCUGCUAGAAGGGCUUCAUACUCGGCCUCAUUAUUUGAUGCCUUGAAUUUGAAACGAAGAGCAUACUCCAUUGCUACUUUGUCGGGUGUAGUCAAGACUAGUCCCGCUCCACAGCCCUGUUGGUUGGAUGAGCCAUCAACAUACAGACUCCAUGCUGGGGUUGUUGGUUCUAUCUUCUGAGCUUCCGGGGGUAAUGAAGCCACUGUUUCAGGUGUAGAAGCAAUGUCAACCGGAUAUGUGAAGUCGGCAAUGAAGUCUGCCACUGCUUGGCCCUUCUCAGCUGGCUUUGGUUGGUAGGAGAUGUCAAACUCACCCAACGCUAUUGCCCAUUUGAUCAUUCGCCCUGAAGUGUCAGGACUUUGGAGUAUCUGUCGAAGAGGAUAAUUGGUAAGCACGAUGAUGGAGUGCGCUUGGAAGUAAGGGCGGAGUUUUCGAGCAGACAUGACCAAUGCCAGAGCCAAUUUCUCAAUGUUAGAGUACCGUGUCUCCGCAUCUUGUAAGGCUUUGCUAGCGUAGUAGACAGGUCGCUCAAUAUUCCCAUCCUUUCGAAUGAGAACGGAACUUACGGCUGAAGCUGAUACCGAUAGGUAGAUAAUGAGAAUGUCUCCUACCUCGGGCUUGGUGAGUAGAGGGGCUUUACUCAUGUACUCCUUGAGGUUUUUGAAUGCCUCGGCACAUUCAUCAGUCCAUGUAAUGUACUUCCUACUUCCCUUAAGUGCUUUAAAAAAGGGAGCACAUUUGUCUGUGGCCUUAGAAAUGAACCUGGUUAAGGCUGCCACCUUGCCAGUAAGGCUCUGGAUGUCCUUUGAAGUUACCGGUUCCUUCAUGUCGAGGAUUGCUUUGAUCUUCUCGGGAUUAGCUUCAAUGCCUCGUUGGCUAAUCAUGAAACCUAAGAAUUUGCCAGAGCCUACGCCGAAGGCACAUUUGUUGGGGUUUAACCUCAUUCGAUACCUCUUCAAAAUAGUGAAAGUUUCAGAUAGGUUGGUGAUGUGUUGGUCAGCAUGUUUGCUCUUGACUAACAUAUCAUCAACGUAAACUUCCAUGCUCUUCCCAAUCUGCUCGGCGAACAUUGAGUUGACUAGUCUCUGAUAAGUCGCUCCUGCAUUCUUUAGGCCGAAAGGCAUGACUUUAUAGCAGUAUAGUCCUCUGUCGGUAGUGAAGGCUGUGUGUUCUUGAUCCGAAGGGUUCAUGAGGAUUUGGUUGUAUCCUGAGUAAGCAUCCAUGAAGCUCAGGAGUUCACACCCGGCCGUAGAGUCUAUAAGUCUGUCAAUAAGAGGAAGAGGGAAGCUAUCUUUCGGACACCCUUUGUUUAGGUCGGUGUAGUCAACACACAUUCUCCACAAGACCUUUUGAAGCGAAAGACUUUCUUUGGUCGGAUUUUUCCUAACAAGGACCACAUUUGCUACCCAUGUCGGGUAAUUGACUUCGCGGACAAAGCCUAUGCCUUUGAGUUUUUCAACUUCUGCUUUCAUUGCCUCGUAUCGUUCAGCGUCAUAAGAUCUUCGCUUCUGUCUCACCGGCUUGAUCUUGGGGUCAAUACUCAAACGAUGACAGAUGACAUCGGGAGAGAUGCCUGGCAUGUCCUCGUAUGACCAGGCGAAGACUUCAGUGUUCUCUUUCAAAAAAGAUAUCAAUGCUAACCGAAGGGGUGGUGACAAUGUGGUGCCAAUCUUCACCAUGUGAUCUGGAUAAUCUCUUGAGAUAGGUACCUUCUCCAACUCUUCAGCAGGUUGGGCUUGCUGGGUGAAAGAGUCAUCUCGAGGAUCAUCGGGUUGAUUGUUGCUAUCAGGAAGAUCCAAGUUCGCUUCAUCUAGGCUGGUCUUUGUGACUUGGUCAUGUACAGACAGGGUUUCCUUGGGUCCGGGCAAGUGUUGUUGCUUAACUGAAGUGUUGUAACAUGAUCGUGCACUAAGCUGAUCUCCUCUGAUGUAGCCGUUGCCAUGGGGGGUUGGAAAUUUCAUCAACAGCAUAUGCGUGGAUACCAUAGCCUUGAGAUCAUUGAUGCCUGUGCGCCCAAAGAUGACAUUGUAUGCCGUUGGGCAGUCAACCACUAGGAAGUUAGUGGUAAUGGUAGCCGUGUAAGGGCCUGUACCAAUAGUAAAGGGUAAAUGUAUGCUCCCUAAGGGUUGCACGAUAUCACCGGAGAAGCUUAUCAGAGGAGAAAUCGAGCGAUCGAGCAAGUGUUCAGCUACACUGAGUGCCCUGAAAGCUUCGGCAAACAUGAUAUUGACCGAAGCCCCUGUGUCUACGAGGAUUCGUCGAACAUCAAAGUUGGCUAUGUGAGCCUCCACGAUCAAUGGGUCGUUAUGAGGGUAGAUGAUGCCUCUUUCUUCCUCAGGGUAGAAACAUAUCGGAUCCCAGUUAGGCUUUUGAUACUUCCCUCCCCUGAUGUCUUCCACGUGAAACACUUGGUGACCAGGCCUCAGAAUUCGUUCACUGUUUUUCAUGGCCCUAUUGGAAGAUUCAGAUAUGGGUGUGCCGCCGCUUAUGGAAUAUAUGACAUUCACCUGGCGUUGGUUACGGUUAUCCCUUUGAGGGUGAAGGAGGAAUUGAUCAAUUUUUCCUUCUCGUGCCAAAGCUUCAAUACGAUCACGGAGGAUGAUACAUUUCUCGCUAUCAUGGCCGUUAUGCUCAUGGUAGCAACAAAACAUGCCCGCGUUAUUCGGGGGCGUGUAAUCUGGGUGCCUCGGCUUUGGCUUUGGUAUCAGGUGAGCUAUGCUGGGGUAAAUGGCCGCGCAUGUGGCAUUCAAGGGCGUGUAUGUCUCAUACCUUGGGGUAGGGGGUAUCUUGACGCGGGUUUGACCCACUGCAUUGACUGCCUGGGGGCGAGCGUUAUUGUGGCGAUACCCUUGGUUAUCGGGAUAGUGUCCCUUACUCUUUUUUACUGAAAUGAGAGUGGUGAGGAUGGAAAUCCUUCCUCUUGCCUUGAAAUUGAUAUGUCUGUUGAUUCGGCGAAGCAUUAUGCAAGGCAUGGGGAGGUGCCACUGCUGUUUGGAAAGUCGAGGUCUUCUCAUUUAGGUGAGUCUGGCUUCCACCUCCCACUUGUUGAUAAAGGAUGGUUGUAGGGGGUUUCUCCUGAUAUGUCUUUGCCUCGGCGGAGGCAUGGUUAUAAGCCUGCGCCAUCACCUCAGAGUAAGUCUUCCAAGUAUUGGCAUUGAUCAUGUAUUUAAAGAAACAAUCACGUAGGCCUGCCGUGAAGGCUUUGAGGGCAGUCUUGUCGUCUGCCUCGGCACACCGGGAGUAUUCAUGGCUGAAGCGGCCAGCAUACAUACGUAAUGACUCGUCUGGCUUCUGGCGGAUAGUGUACAGGUCAUCUGCAGAGUGCAAGCGAUCGGUUUGGAAAAUGUGUUGGGAAACAAAUAGUUUCCUCAAUUCCUCAAAUGAGUCUACCGUCUCAGGUGUAAGACGACAAUACCAAUUUAGAGCUCCGCCAGAGAGGGUGGAGGGGAAGAGAAGACAUCGCUCUUCGUCGGUGUGCAUCCGGUAUGCCAUGGUGGACUCAAAGAGGUUAAGGUGCUCAAUCGGGUCCUCUUUUCCAGUAUAAAGUUGCAAGCCAAGCUUUUUGCUUUGUCUUUGCUUGAAGGGGGGUGUUGAGGAUCCUCCUUGUAAGAGGGCCAGGCCUGGGUUGGUUCCAGUCAGGUAUUUCAGCCUGACGUUCAGCCUUCAACUUGUUUACUUCCUCAAGAAGUUGUAGGACAAGGGGGUCCUGAGCGGAGUUAUGUGCCACUGGAGCUUUCUUUCGUAAAUCUCCAUCUUCUCUUGGAAUUAGGAAGGUUUGAUCAAGGGCAUGUGAUUUUUCCCUGGACUCGCUGUACUGGCUUCCAGGGUAUGUCUGUCGGAACACCUCUGAGUCCCCUGUACCCUCAUGUCUCUCUAGGACUUGUUGCCCCUUCCCCAAAUUGGUGGCCGGCUUGGGCCGUGGCAGGGGACCGAGUCUCUCAGAAAUCCUUGGGUCAUUAAUCUUUGAGCUUAUAUGGAUGGAAUUCUCUCGACGUUGCUUCAGGAAAUCCCGACAAUAGCGAAAGACAGCUUUCGAUCCUUCUGCCCCUUCAGCAAAGAGGUGUCUCCCUCCACUUCUCAUGGUUCGGGUUGAAGCAACUGGGUUAAGAGAAGCCUCAUGUUGAUUAUCAAGUCGAGGGGUAAUCUGUUCCCUAUCAGGGAUAUCUAUGUCGAAUGCAUGUGACCCUCCAUGUUGGAGGGCACCCAGUUGAUGGUUGACUUCCACGGGGGCAACAAGCUCGCGUGUCUGAGCUUGCCUAGCUUCGUGGAGUGUCUCGAAGAGCUUCUCAUAUUGCUCCUGGAGGACCUCAUUCCUCAUUGCUAUCUUGUUGUUCUGAGCUUCCAACUCAUCGACUUUAGCUUGAAGAAGAACUCGUUUUCCUUCCUUCUUUCGUUGUUUCGCACUAUGUGCAAGGGGGGUGUCAUUCUGUGUGCUGUGGCUUCCUUCGCUUCCCAUGUUGGAGAGGGAUGCCUGGUCAAAAGAAAGUGUACGAAUGAUAGAAACCAGCUUGACACAGCUGAAGAGAGUAGGAAUAAGUGUCGUUUCCCACAGACGGCGCCAAAUGUUGAUUAUCAAAAUCAGCGAAGACUUUGGUACAACAGAAAGUGUCAGGUUUUGUGACCUUCGCUUGGUUGCUUCGGUCACUAGUGAGGAUAAAUACGUAAAUAAAUAGAGACAGAGAAGCAAACACAGGAUGUACGUGGUUCACCCAGAUUGGCUACGUCCACGGAGUAGAGGAGUUCUUAUUAGUAGUGAAGGGCUUACACAAGUACAAAGGAUCAAGCUCUCAAUUUAGUGAGUUCUUGUGAAUGAUUUAACACAAAAUGGCAUUAGGCAAUAUUGUGGGGGAAUGACCCCUAUUUAUAGAAAAACUUGUAGCUUUGUCACAUUGACAUGUGUCAUGUUAUGAUUGGUUCUUGAUGUUGACACGUGAUGCGCUCUGAUUGGCUUCUAAUCCUGACACGUGUCGAGUAGUGAUUGGCCUCCUGGUCGGAGGGGAACUCUUCUGGGUCCUUGACAGUAUAGCGUUGGCCGGUGCUCGGUAGUUUCGGGAUUGGUCAAGUAUGGUACAAACAAGUUGUACUUAGUACAUUUGAUGGGCAAUCAUAUUUUAGUUGGUUCCGUUGAGUGGUCCGGAAUCCUUUUUGGUGUCUUGGUUCCGUUGAGAGGUCCGGAACCCGAUGCUGAUGGAUUUCGUUGAGGGGUCCGAAAUUGCAUCAUUUGAUUCAUUUAAGACAGCUUCAGCAAUGUAGACUUAUGUCGAAUUGUGUCGCUCUAACCCGGCAUUCCGAUGAAUUGUAUGUGUUAUUGAUGAUAUGGUGAUUGGCAUUAUUGAUUGAUGUGAUAAUUGGAUGGUAAUGGAAUGCAUAUGUGAGGAUGAAUGACGUUAUGAGUAGAGAUUAUUAUUGUGCUUUGUUAAAUGUUCCUUAAGGUGCUACAUAAUUGAAUUGUGGUAUUAUGUUGAGACCUAGUGGUCUAUGUGACGAAUGUUCGAUAGUAGUGAAAUGUGAACUACGAAUGACUUGAUCCCUGUUGAGGGUACGUAGGUAGUCUAACGAGGAGGUUAGAUGCAGUCAUAAAAUACACAAAAAUUACAACGAAAUUCGAAUAUUGAAUUAUGCUUUGUAAAUAUUUCGGGCGGGAUAUGUGAGAUAUACGGGUUUUUAAUGACGUCACGUGCUGAUCUUGGACGUAUGUCGGGAUCAGGGCGUGACAAAAUGAGUUUUAUGAAAUGAAAUGGCAUGCCAAUUAUAUUUAUAUUAAGAAUGUGCAUAUGUGAUUAUAUAUGUUGUGAUUCGAUGCUAUGGGCGCUCAGGUAAGUUUCAAGUAAGUUUAUGUGUUGAGUUUAAGGUGUGGAAAAAUGAUGAUUGUUGAGAUGUGUUGAGAGCUCAUUAACCUGCACCCGGGUGUUAGUGCUCCUGCCCAUGGUUAGGGGCACAGUCUUUCACGUGAUGUUUACCUCCCGUAGCACACGCUCAUCUUGGAUCCAAGUUAGGUGCACAAUCCUGUUGUAUAGACCACUUUCAGUGGGUUCGACUCGUUGGUGACCUGCAAUCAUUCGCACAGUCUUCACGUGAUUGUAGCAUUAGAGCAUAUUUGUUUUACACCCAGUCAUGUCGUAUAGACCACUAUAGGUGGGUUCGACUCGUGUGCAGACAUGAUUUAUGAGAUAGAAUUCAGUUGAUUUGAUAUUCUCACAUGUUAUCACUCCUUGGGGUACUUACCUUGUUAUUUGAGAUGAUUGGCAUGGUAUAUUCACGUUUUGACUUUGGAUUUUGAUAUUGCUGGAUAUGUUGAGAUUACGAGUAUAUGUAUAUGCUAUUUGCUGGGAAAUUAUACAGGUUUUACAGAGAGGGGUUAUACUUUUGAGAAAUGAAAUGAUUUUGAAAAGUUUUGUUUUUUGCCCACUCACGCGUUUUGUUUUGCGCCCCUCUAGGUUUUAGGUAGCGUUGUUGGUGGCUUACGAGUUUUCAGCGGAGGUUCUGACAGACCAUCACUUAUGUAGAAUCACCUUUGGGUGUUGUUAUUUAGUACUUUUAUGCUUGACUGCACUUAGGCUAGUUAAGCUCUGAUUGUGUAUUCACACUUAAUUUCCACUCUUGCAUCUUAGUCUUGUCUAGUACUAUCAGGAUUUGGUUUCUAUUCAAUUGUAUUUCUCUAUAUUAAUCUUGCUUCCGCACUGUGCAUAUGGCUACGUCACCCUCACGUGACGGUUAGCAUGUCUCGAUCUUGGUCGGGGUGUGUCAUCAAGUCACCUUUUAACUUCUAUUAUGUUGAUUUUUGUCUGUAGGUACACAAAAAUAUGCAGAUUUGGCUUUCAAAUUGAGAGGCCUAAGGACAAUCUCUGUUCAUAGAAAAAAAAGUUGGACAUAGAAGGCAUGGGUAUGGGAACAUGAUUGGUUGUUAUAUUGCUUUGGGACGUUUUGAUAUUUUAGAGAUUAAUGAGUUUGUGGAGAUUUUGUUUUUCACAUCUUGCUUUGUAUUUGAACUUAAGCACUAUAACUGAACUUACUUUAAAAUUAUAGGACUUCAAAACGCGACCGCGGUUAGGAUUAGAAAGGGCCAAGUAUAUAUGUUGAGAAACUAGGCAUUGCAAGCAUAUAAAUUCCAAUUUUAUUAUUGCUAAACCAUAUAUCAAAUGUAGUUAGGAAUUAAAUUAAGUACAAACUACAUGGGGAUGGAGAAAGUUAUGUAUAGGUGAGAGCCUAAAAAUACUUGAGAAUCAAAUACUGCACAAAUUUGUGAUAAGUUAGAUGAGUAAAGAUCGCCUUUUGUCAAGCAGUUUUUGACUUUUCUGCAUUCUUUUAUAUAGUUUUUUCUUUUUUUCUUCCUAUUUUGUCAGAUUAGAUAGAUAGGGGCGCUAAUAAAAAAAAAGAAAGAAAGUAUUUUUGCAUUUUGCUGCACGUGAUGAUGUUGAUGAUAUACAAUAUUCAAUGACUAAACCCUAUUCCCUAUACUAUAGCAAAAAAUGAAGCAUAAUUAUACAAUAGCUACACACAAAACAUUGAAAGUAUACAUGCGUGCAGUAAGAAUGAAUGGUAAAAAUGCCAUGUUCCUUUUAACAUUGCGAAUUACCGAGCUUUAUGGAGGGAGUAUAAAUACGAAUGCUCUUGGUGGUCUUCAUCUAAUUUCUUAUUAGUAUCAUCUCGAUGUUUUGGAACUUUUGACAGCCCUCUCACCGAACAUAUAAUUUUUAGGGGCGCGCAGCGCUCGUAAUUAAAAAAACGCGCAUGCGGAGAGGCUGGUAUAUACUAAAGUCCUACGCCCAAAAAUGCUGUUCAUAAGAGCAGUGUAAAGACGCAAAUACCCCUCCUCAACUGAUCUUUUCCUUCCUAUAUUUCAUGAGGCUACAGUAAAAAGACGAAAAACCAUGUUGCACACGUGGCGUGCUAGCGAGAUUUCUCUCUUCCACCGCUUCCUUCCUCUGCAGUCUACACCUCUUGCGUUUUUGCCUUUCCUCUCCAGCUGUCGGCCAUCACAGAGUCUUAUGGCAUCUUCCCGUUCUUUUCGCUGUUUUUCCUUCGGUUGCUUUUCACUUCUUUUCCUCUAAUUUGACUUCGUUUGUUUUGUGUUAUGUGGUUUUUAUUGAUUUUCAAUGUGUAUUGAUUGAUACUAACAAUUACAAGAUGAAACUUAUAUAUAGGGAAAGAAAGAUGACAUAAGCCUAACUUGCCUAACUUGCCUAACUUACACAAAGAAAGUUGACUAGCCUAACUUCACUAGUCAUCCAAUACAAUUGUUCCAACAUGUUUAUUUCAUGCAUUUUAACACUCCCCCUCAAGUUGGAGUGUGGAUGUCAAUGAUACCCAACUUGCUAAGUAAGACCUCAAAUUGCGCCGAGCUUAGUGGUUUGGUGAACAAAUCUGCAGGUUGAUUCGAGGUUCGUAUGUAAGCUGUUUGCACCAUUCCCAUCUGAAUCUUCUCACGUACUAAGUGACAGUCGAUCUCUAUAUGCUUCGUUCGUUCAUGAAACACUGGGUUCGAAGCAAUGUGCAUGGCAUCUUGAUUAUCACAAAACAAUGUGACUGGUUGUGCAUGAUUCACUCGUAAGUCCUUCAAAAGGUUUCUUAGCCAUAUAACUUCACAACAGGUGAUAGCCAUAGAACGAUAUUCUGCCUCUGCACUAGAACGAGAUACUGUGCUUUGCUUCUUUGUUUUCCAAGAUAUCGGUGCUUGCCCAAGGAAGAUACAAUAACCGGUUAUUGACCUUCUAGUGUCUUUACACCGAGCCCAAUCAGCAUCACAAAAAGCUUGUAAUUGUAGUGAACCUGUAGAAGGCAAAAGAAUUCCCUGGCCAGGAGAUUGUUUGAUGUAUCUGAGAACCUUAUACACUGCAUCAAGGUGUGGUUGUCGCGGCUUGUCCAUGAAUUGGCUUAACAUAUUAACCACGUAAGUCAGGUCAGGCCUCAUGAUGGUUAAGUAAAUUAGCCUCCCUACGAGUCUCCUAUAUGAAGAAGGAUCAUGUAGGAGCGUCCCUUCAGUUUAUGUAAGGGACAAGUUUGGUUCCAUGGGCAAUCGUGAGGGCUUCGCACCAAGGAACCCAACAUCUUCUAGUAUCUCCAACGCAUAUUUGCGUUGGCACAAGGCAAUCCCUUGUUUAGAUCUUGCAACUUCUAUCCCCAAAAAAUAUUUGAUUUUUCCCAAAUCCUUUAGCUUAAAAUGUUGGGAAAUGAAGAGUUUAGUCUCUUCAAUUUCUCUCAAAUUGUUACCUGCAAGUAUUACGUCAUCAACAUACACAAGUAAUGCCAUGAAACUGCCUUGAUUGAUGAAAACCAGCAGUCUUGAGAGCACUAGACAGCUUAAUAAACCACUGUCUUGAGGCCUGUUUUAAACCAUAAAUGGAUUUGUGUAAUUUGCAUAGUUGUGUCUCCCCCUUUCGUCCGAACCCAGGAGGUAUAUAAACCUCAUCGUAUAAGUCACCAUGCAAAAAUGCGUUGUUUACAUCAAGUUGGUGAAGAUGCCAACCACAGAUGAAGGCAAUACUGAGGAGGACAUGGACGGUGGUGAGCUUGGCAACUGGAGCAAAUGUUUCCCGAUAAUCAAGCCCUUCAAUUUGACUAUAGCCUUUAGCAACGAGACGGGCUUUGUAGCGUUCAACACUGCCGUCAAGUUUAAGCUUCACCUUAUAGAUCCAUUUGCAGCCUAUGGGAUGUUUGUGAGGUGGUAAGGGCACAAGAGUCCAAGUGCGAUUGUCAUGGAGGGCAUCAAUCUCUUUUUGCAUGGCGUCACGCCAUUUUGGAUCCUGAACAGCCUGCGAAAAACUGGUGGGUUCUUUGAUAAUGGUGAGGGUGGUGAGAAAGGUUUUGUGAGGGGGGAUACAUGGUCAUAGGAUAAAUAACGAGAUAGGGAGUGAGAUGUACCUGAGGACUGAACCAUGCUUGUGGAAGAUGUGGGUGCAACACGGGAUGGGAGGGCCACCUCAACAUGAAAGUCUUGCAAAAAUAUGGAAGUUUUGGUUGGUCGAGUGCUAGGACGGAGUGCAGGGGUUGGAUCUGGUGAUGGAGUGGUUGGAGGUGGGGAAGAGUGUAGGGUAGGUGAAGGUGUUGAUAAGGUAUCUGGUGGUGGAGUUGUAGAGGGUAAAGGAGAUGAGGGUGGUGUGAUGUCGGCAAGUGUGGGAGAUGUGGUGUUUAUGUCUGCUGGUGCAAGGCUUGAAUGCGACUCAAUGGGAGAGGUCGAGUCAAACGGGAUAGGUGUAGUGUUUGAUGGAGACGGGGCAACGGAAGUGUUACAAUGUUGGAAUGGAAAAUGAUCUUCAAAAAAUACGACAUCCCUAGAAACAAAAGUCUUAUUGUGUUUUAUAUCAAACAAUUUAUAACCCUUUUGACCAUAAGGAUACCCAAGAAAAAUGCAUUGGAUUGCACGAGGGUCAAAUUUAGAGGGCCUUUGGGCAUGUGUAGAAGCAAAACACAAGCUACCGAAAACCUUCAAAUGAGAAUAGUUAGGUGCUUUGUGAAACAGUUUUUCGUAUGGUGUUUUACCUUGGAGAAGUGGAGUGGGUGUUCUAUUGAUGAGGUAGGCUGAGGUUAGGAUUGCAUCUCCCCAAAAACAUUUUGGCAGACAAGCUUGAAAGAGCAAAGCCCGAGCAACAUUGAGCAAGUGCCGGUGUUUACGUUCGGCAACACCAUUUUGUUGUGGUGUGUUGACUCAACUAGAUUGAUGUAUGAUGCCUUUGAGAGCAUAAAAUUGCUCAAGUUUAAACUCAGGGCCAUUGUCACUUCGUAUGAUUUGAACUCUGGUAUUGAAUUGAGUCUCAAUCAUUUGAAUGAAUUUGACUAAAAUGUCUUUUGUGUCAGAUUUAUGUUUCAUCAAAUGAACCCAAGUGCUUCUAGUGUAGUCAUCUACGAUGGUAAGGAAAUACUUGGCACCUGAAAUAGAAGCAACUUGAUAACCACCCUAAAUAUCAAUAUGCAAUAAUUCAAAACAUGAUUUGGUAGAAAUAGAGCUCAAAGGAAAGGGUGAUCGUGUUUGUUUGGCCAAUGGGCAAAUUGAACAUUUUUCCAAAUCACAAGCUUUAUUGUUAAAGAAAGGUAAUAACGAAGUGGCUUUAUGAGAUGGGUGUCCUAGGCGUUGGUGCCAAAGCUUUGGUGCGAUGGUUUGAAUAUUGUUGCAUGUUCUUUUCCUUGAUGAGUCGAGGUAGUAGAGUCCAUCCCUUUCAGUUCCCAUCCCAAUCAUCUUCCCCGAGCGAAGGUUCUGAAUGACACAAAAUUGGGUGAAGAAAAUUGUGACAUAUAAGGAAUCAUAGGCUAGUUUACUGAUGGAUAUUAAAUUUAAUUUAAAGAAUGGCACACAUAGGACAUUGUCAAGGAUAAGAUUAUGAGAGAAAACAACUUGUCCAAUGUGAGUGACUUUGGCAACGGAACCAUUUGGCAGUUCAACUGUAUGAUUUUCAACAGCUCGUGAGUGUGUAAAGAGACUAGGGUUGAAAGUUCUUCAUGACUAGAAGGAUUACCGACUUGAUUGGCAAAUGAUGAUUUGUUCUUGUUCAACAUUUGAAGGAUUUGCUUGCAAUCCUCCUGAGAGAACGGGAAAUUGGGCAACAUCUCUUGCUUGUUACUUUGUGAAACUUGAUUCCCUUUUGAAGAAAAAGGACGACUGCUUUCCGUUUCUGUGGCUGCUUUUCGUUUUCGACAGAAAUCGAAGGUGUGACCUUUCCAUCCACAAAAAGUGCACUUGAGAUGUGCACGACAGUUUUUGGUGAUGUGAUUUGUUCUAUUGCACUUUCCACAUCGCAUCUCUUUGUCUUCCGGUGUAGGUUCUUGCGACAAAUUCUUCACUCCAAAGACAACAGCCUCUGGUUGUGUACUCUUCCCAUUGGAAACCUCUGCCUGGCGUUCAUGUCGAAGGACCAACGCAUAUGCCUUGUUCACCGUAGGCUGUGGUUCAAGAAGAAGGGUAUUGCUUCGAACCGUAGCAUACGAUUCGUUCAAUCCCAUAAGGAACUUCAUGGUUUUCUGAGUUUCAACAUAUGAGUUCAUCUCAUUCUUUGUUCCACAACUGCAUGCUGGAAUGGAACACAAAGUAUCACGUUCAUCCCAUAAACUUUUAAGUUUAGUGCAGUAAGAACUUACACUCAUAUUGCUUUAGACGCAAUCAUGGAUCUCGUUCUUAACAUGGAACAGCUGAACUAUAUUCACAUGUGAGAACCUCUCCUGCAGAUCGGUCCACAUUUGUCGAGCAUCCUUGUAGUUGAUGACACUCCUUGAAAUCUCCUUUGACAUGGAGCCUAGUAGCCAUGUCUUGACCAAGUUGUUGCAGCGAUUCCAUUGUUGCAACUCCUCAGAAUUGUCCUCACUUGGUUUGUUGAUUGUCCCAUCAACAAAACCAAGUUUGUUCUUGACCGUUAAGGCCAUACUCAUGGAUUGAACCCAUGUGCUGUAGUUGUCUUCCACCAAUGGUUGUGGUACGAGGAUUGCACCAGGUUGGUCCGAGUGGUGGAGAUAGAGUGGGUGGUUGGGAUUUUCCCAUUUUGAAUGAGAAGCCAUGCCUGGAAUGGUUGACCUCAUGACUGCCUUAGAGCUUGUGUUUUGUGGUUUUCCCAGAUCACAGCUCUGAUACCAUAUUGAUUUUCAAUGUGUAUUGAUUGAUACUAACAAUUACAAGAUGAAACUUAUAUAUAGGGAAAGAAAGAGGACAUAAGCCUAACUUGCCUAACUUGCCUAACUUACACAAAGAAAGUUGACUAGCCUAACUUCACUAGUCAUCCAAUACAAUUGUUCCAAUACAAUUGUUCCAACAUGUUUAUUUCAUGCAUUUUAACAGUUUUGGUUUCGUUUGCUCUCUUUCCCUUCUUCUCUGUUGGUUUCUGUUGCUUCUCCAUCAGUUCACCCAAACCACCGCUUGCUUCUCCACCAGUUCACCCAAAUCCGACGAAGGGCGCCACAACAAACGUGCCAAUCUUCCUGCACCACCGGUCUCCGCAACGUUUUCCAAAACCCGCUUGACCGAAGGUAAGCGAAUUUGGUGUUCUGGAUUAUAUCGGAAUUGAAAUAGGUUUGGUUUCAUUAACUUUUUGGGUUAAUAAAUUUGUAUGCUCUGAUUCUUUUGAAUUUGAGUUUGGAUUGGAAUUUAAUUUUGAUUUACAAAUCUCUGAUAAAACCUCAACAAGAAACUUAAACCCUCAGCAAGAAACUUAAACCCAAUGCAUCAUCCUAUUAAUUCCAACAUCUCCUCAAUAAGUAUUCUAAGAUAUAAAUAUUACAAUUCUGGUGAUCAUAGAAAAAUGCAUAUUUGAGUGAUCAUGGAACACUGUUAGUAGCUACACAUAUCAUAAUAAUUUAGGAUAUGGACGUUAAAUUAUCUUAAACUGCAGAAUGUGGCUUUUACAUUGUUAUAUGGAAUUUCCCCUAGGAAGAAAUAGCAUUGAACUUAUAGGAUGGAUACAUAAAUAGCCUAUGUACGCAUUACAAAAUGAUUUAGUUGUUUGGGAUUAAACAAAGUUUGGUUUUUCAUGGUGAGUUCUCAACUGGGUUUUACUUAUUUUUUUGCCUCCGAUAUAAGUUUUAGAUGCUUUUCUUUGUUUUUCGCUAAUUUUUAAAUUUAUUUUUUUUACUAUUUAGUGUGAGAAAAUGGCUUCAAAAUUGGAUUUCCAAUGUCUGGGCAGAGGAAAACAGGAAGAGAACACCAAUGGUGGUUACGAAGGAGAAUCCCUUCUUUGCGGUGGAAAUUGACGGUCCAUGUGCAACAUUCAACCCAGUUUAUAAGAGCAGGGGUCAAUAUGAAGAACCAAUGACAUGGGGUUUUGUUUAAUUUUAUUAAGUUUUGUACUGAGGUAAAAUUCUCCCCAUUUAACAUAGUUUUAAAUGUUGAUUAGUAUAUGUGUAAAUAGGAUUGUGAGUAUGGUUGUAUAUGUAGUAGUAGAAUUGAAAACAUUGUUGUAAUUAUGUGUAAGUAGAGUUGUAAACCCGACGCAUCGCGCGGGCCUUUUUGCUUGUUACCCCUAAACGUUACAAAAAUCCCAAAAAUUAAAAGGAAACUAAAAAAAAUUAGAAUUUACCCAUAGUUUCGCGAAUCCCAGCCGGAUGAACUGGUGGCAGUUGUAAGAGCGGAUCUCCAGCUCCGAACCUCUUCUAUUUCAGCGUUAGAAUCAUGGUCGUGCUGAUCAAAAGCUUUCGCGAAACUUCCCUUUAGUUUACGACAUCAGACGGAUCAACUUCAUAGAAAAUGGGGAGUACAAUCUGUUUAUUGGUAUCCUCGCAUUCCAGGAUUUGCACGAGUUCUUUCAAGCACCAAGUGGAAGAAGCAUAGUUUUGAGAGAAAACUACAAUCGAAAUCCUUGACUCUCGAAUGGCUGACAGGAGCUUGGAAAGGCGGUCGCCUUUUCUGAGGUCUUCGGCAUCAAUGAAGGCGUUGAUUGGUUUCUGACGCAGGGCUUUGUAGAGAUGGCUGACGAAGCCCCUGCGAGUGUCUUCCCCUCUGAAAUUGAUGAACACAUCGUAUUUCCAACCAAGGCCAGAAGAAGAAGAAGAAGCAGCCAUUAAUCGAUCGAGCAGCUAAGUCCUAGAGUAAUGUAAGAACAGAAAUACUCGAUUGAUCAAUAAAUUGAAUCACAGAAAAAACUGGUCUGAUCGAUACGAAGUCAACGAGGACAGAAAAUUAUGCUUUAUGUGUUUUCACAUCUUCUUCCGGGAAAUUUAACGAAAAUAAUUUUCUUGCCGGCAAAAUUGACUUCAAAAUAUAAAAAUAUUCUUCCAGGUAUGGACAUAUGAAGUUUCAGUGUGAAACGAAUCUGCAUACUUUGGUUUGGUUUUGACCCAAGAAAAUGCUAAGAAAGGAUGGUUUAGCAGCUUUGCAUGAGGGGACUGGGUCAAAGUACUCUGUUGAAUCUGCCCUUGCCUACCCAACAACUUCUUUGUAAGUCGGAAAUAAAUCCCGAUCUUCCUAUUCACACGAAAAAUGAGUGGGGUGACAGGAAAUAUUUCUUGUUAAAUGUAAGCAUCUCACACAUGUGGUAUAUUCAAAGGUAUUGAGGCGACAAACGAGCGAUUAAUAGUUUGGCUUUUAAUUUGAUGUCACGGUAGUAACGGUACUUACUAUGAAAUCUUUGAUAUAUUUGCUUUUAGCUACAAAACAACUAAAACUCCACAAAUUGCUUAUGAAAAUAAAAAAUAUUGACAAGAUUUGAACUUGUAUUAUCUACAUCUUCACUACACAUUGUUGCUCCGCUCGUGUUCUGAAGUUGACAAUAGCUAGAAGGUCACAGCAAGAAGCAGAGGAGGCUAACUGUUACAGAAAAUUUGUUUAUUCAAAGCAUUAAUAAAAACACAUUGAAAUUAAUUCACGCAAAAAAUAAAUAAUACAGUGAAGGAUUUACAGUGGUGGCAGCCACACUUCAAAAAUAGGGCGUCUCACCCUGUGGAGAAAGCAUUUUUUGCUAUGAAUAAAAAUUCCACUGCGUAACAAAACAGGAGAUUAAUGAUUGAGUGAUAGCUGAGUUGUUUGCAAUGAGAGAGAUGUUUUUACUUUUAUUGAUAAGGAGUCUACAUAUGCGAUGUUCUCAUAGUAUAAAACUUCGCCGACAACAAUUAUAACUUGUUUGUGUUGAUAAAUUUUGAAUGACAUUAAUAUUGUCUAAUAUCUAAAAGAAUUUGGAUGGCUACAUUUUUUUUUUUUGGAAAACCUUUUAACCUUAUAAAUUGCGGGCUUCUUCCGACAAUUCCUAACUUCGUCACUGCUUCAGUCAACUCGAAGUCCUAGUGGUUCUUGUCCAUGAUAUCAAUAUCCCUACAAUAAACGGUGACUUCAAUAUGAGCUACACUCAGUCUAACAAAAAGUUUGUAUAGAGAAGAUAUGCAUGAAAAAAUGGCAAUGGUUGUGUUUGUGUUGCUGAACGAAUGAUACUGAAAUACCUAAACCCAAGUCAAGCUCCUUUAGUCCACGAAAACAAAAGUUUAGAAUACAAUAAUGUUUGCAUAUAGACUAGAGAAACGACAUACCGCAGGCCAGGAAGGUGCAGUGAAAGAGAGAGGAAGAGAGGAAAAGAGGAAAGAAACAAACAUGAAAUGACAAAGACUAUCAAAUAGAUUAUAACAAUGACUUCUUAGCGAUGGUUACAACUAUUUAACUAUCGAUAAUGCAUUAUUUUAGUUUGAAACGUGGAAGCAUUUGAGAAGUAGCAUGUCAACAACCAUUACACAAUAAUAUUGUCUAAUAUCUAAAAGAAUUUGGAAGUCUACAUUUUUUGGAACCUUUUACCCUUAUAAAUUUUGCGCCUCUCCUGACAAUUUCUAGUUUCGUCGUUGCUUCAGUCAACUCCAAGUUCUAGUGGUUCUUGUCUAUGAUAUCAAUAGCCCCACCGUAAAUGGUGACUUCAGUAUAAGCUACACUUAGUAUAAGUGUAUGGGGGACAUAUAUGUAUGAAAAAAUGGCAGUGGUUGUAUCUGUGUUGACUAACGGAUGGUACUGGAAUACCUAAACCCAAGUCAAGCUCCUUCAGUCCACAAAAAUCAAAAGUUUAUAAUAUAAUAAUGUUUGCAUAUAGACUUGAGAAAAGACAUACCGCCAGCCGGGAAGGUGCAAUGAACAAGAGAGGAAAAGAGGAAAUAAACGAACAAGAAAGGACAAAGACUAUCCAAUAGAUUAUAACAAUGACUUCUUAGUAGUGAAGUGAUUAAGCUAUUCCACUAUUAAUAAUGCAUUAUUCUUAGAUUGAAAUGGUUCAGAAAUUUAAAAGCCAGAAUUGACUUAUAUAAAAUCAAUUUUUAAUUGGGUAGAUGUAAUUUGUAAAACAAAAAUGUUUAUAAAAAAAAAUUUCUCUUGAAAAUGUAUUCUGGUGCCAGGAUUUAAACCUGGAUGAAAACUCUUAACCGUAAGACUUUUUGUAGUGAGCAACACUGGACUAGUUGAUAGACUAUGAUGAAAUAAACCAUUUAAAUGUACUCCUUACGUUAUGCAGUGCGCAUACUGGAUAAACAAUUAGUGCACAUAAUGUGGUUAUCUGAUUUGUGGGGAAUGGUGAUGCUCACCGCUGACUUUUGGUUUACUGACAGGCUCUCAAAGUUAAAUAUAUCAGAUUUUGUUUGACAUUCGUAACAUAUUUUAAUAUUUUCACCACAACAACAACAACAACAACAAAGUCUUUUCCCACUAAGUGGGGUCGGCUAUAUGAAUCCUAGAACGCCAUUGCGCUCGGUUUUGUGUCAUGUCCUCUGUUAGAUCCAAGUACUCUAAGUCUUUUCUUAGAGUCUCUUCUAAAGUUUUCCUAGGUCUUCCUCUACUCCUUCGGCCUUGAACCUCUGUCUCGUAGUCACAUCUUCGAACCGGAGCGUCAAUAGGCCUUCUUUGCACAUGUCCAAAUCACCGGAACCGAUUUUCUCUCAUCUUUCCUUCAAUUUCGGCUACUCCUACUUUACCUCGGAUAUCCUCAUUCCCAAUCUUAUCCUUUCUCGUGUGCCCACACAUCCCACGAAGCAUCCUCAUCUCCACUACACCCAUUUUGUGUACGUGUUGAUGUUUCACCGCCCAACAUUCUGUGCCAUACAACAUCGCUGGCCUUAUUGUCGUCCUAUAAAAUUUUCCCUUGAGCUUCAGUGGCUUACGACGGUCACACAACACGCCGGAUGCACUCUUACACUUCAUCCAUCCAGCUUGUAUUCUAUGGUUGAGAUCUCCAUCUAAUUCUCCGUUCUCUUGCAAGAUAGAUCCUAGGUAGCGAAAACGGUCGCUUUUUGUGAUCUUCGCUAGAUUACUCCGGUCAUUAGCGUGGAUAAGUAUAUAAAUGGAUAGAGAUAGGAAAGCAAACACAAGAUGUACGUGGUUCACCCAGAUUGGCUACAUCCACGGAAUAGAGGAGUUCUCAUUAAUUGUGAAGGGUUUACACAAGUACAUAGGUUCAAGCUCUCCUUUAGUGAGUACAAGUGAAUGAUUUAGUACAAAUGACAUUAUGAAAUAUUGUGGGAGAAUGAUCUCGUAAUCAUGAAACUUCUAAGUAUCGGAGUGUGGUAUCGUCUUGACUUGCCUUAUCUGUCUCAUAGGUAGAUGUGGCAUCUUCUCUGGAAGUACUCUUCCUCCAUCCAUGGGUGGUAUCUUUAACUGGUGGAGAUGCAUAAGGUAAUGUAUCAAUUUCACUUGAAGCUUACUUGUAGUUUCAGGCUUGGUCAAGCGCGAUACAAACCAUGUAGUAGGAGUCCCCCAAGUCGCCGAGCUAGGGGAUUUGCUGAAAGAGGUGACAGACAAGGUAAGCAAUCAGAGCUCCGGCUGAUUGUUCACAUUCUCCCUAUCUUGCAGGCAGCAUGAAGGAUAAAGAGAAGAAAAAAUGAGAAGAGAUGAUAUGGGAUACUUUUGCUUUUGAAGAAGUAACUUUCCACAGGCUUAUUCUUGAACUGAAGCUGGAGGGUUUUCUGGUUUCCUCCAGAGUAUAAGGCCGACUGAAGAAUUUGAGGGUCAAAACAAGUCCAUCAAAUCUAGAGUACGUUCGACCCUGCUGAUAUGGGAUACUUUUGCUUUUGACAGAGUAAUGGAUGUAUCGGCACGUGUGCUGUUACGCUUGUCUCUCCACAUGCUUCCUUGUAUCCUUCUCACUUGCCCUAUCUGUUCCUCAAGGCAAGAUGCGGUAUCUUCCCUGGAAGCAUAAGAUGUUGAAGAUGAGUACUCGAGAGCAAUGCCAGGUAAGUAAUCAGGUAAGGGGUUCCAGGCAGUCAGUUCCUAGCUGGAAGCUUGAUUCCAAGUGCUGACUGAUUGCUCUCUUUCUCCUUGUCUUGCAGGUAAAGAACAAGGCCAAAGGAAAAGACAGGGAAAAAGCAUGAUAUGGGAUAUACUCUUGCUUUUUAACCCUGAUGAUAUGAGAUAUUCUUGCUCUAGUAUAGCUUGUUUGUAGAGGUAUUAUCGGGGGGAAAGAAAGCUGAAUAUUUCGAAAGGCUUCGUUGGGAGUGCCCUCUCAGAUAUGAGAAAGGGUUGAGCAUUUUUGCAGGUCUGCCUGUCCGUUGGGGAUGGAGGUCGACAUAUAUAGGAGUCUCCCUAAUAACAAGUAGUAAUGUUAUUCCUUUACCCUGCUUGGUCAUAGCACGAUAGUUGGAGCUGCCAGCUUCACAUGUUUUAACUCUGUCAGAGCACUUUGAAAAAGUGGUCUGUGGUAUCUGGAAAGCUGAUGUUGCGUGUGAAGAUUACAGACAAGCUUUACCCAAGGAGAUUUGGUUCUUGAAGUUGGGAAAAUGGUGCCUUUUCGGUUUUCGAACAAGCAAUCCUAUCGGGGAUCUGGCUCUCGAGAUUUGGAGAACGAUGCCUCUUCGAUUUUUGAGAAAGCAAUCAUGCUGGGGGUCUAGCUCUCGAGAUUCGGAGAGCGGUGUCUCUUCGAUUUUUGAGAAAGUAAUCAUGUUGGGAGUCUGGCUCUCGAGAUUCGGAGGACGGUGCCUCUUCGAUUUUGGAGCAAGCAAUCUUGUUGAGAAUGUUUUCUCGAAUGUGAGUAAAGGUUGGGCAUGUUUGCUAGUCUACCUUGCCACGAAGCACAGAGGUUGACACACAGGGACUUUCCAAUUAUCCAGCAAUGGUACUGUUCCUUUACCCUCUUUUCGAUUUUUGAGAAAGUAGGCAUGUUGGGAGUCUGGCUCUCGAGAUUCGGAGGACGGUGCCUCUUCGAUUUUGGAGCAAGCAAUCUUGUAAUCUUGUUGGGAGUGUUUUCUCGAAUGUGAGUAAAGGUUGGGCAUGUUUGCUAGUCUACCUUGCCACGAAGCACAGAGGUUGACACACAGGGACUUUCCAAUUAUCCAGCAGUGGUACUGUUCCUUUACCCUCGUGGGUAAUAAUAUGGUAGCUAGACCUUCAAAAUUUAUGUGUCUAAACUUUGUUAGUGUUGUUUCUUUGCUAUUCUUUUACCCUUCUUGGUCAGAGCGAUGUAGUGGGAGCUGCAAGCUUCACGUGCUCAACUUUGGCAGAGAACUUUGGUAAAGUUAUCUGUGGUACCCAUGAGCUACUGUUGCGUGUGGGAAGUGGGUGAUUGAACAGUAAGAUUCAUGUGCCUUCUACUUCACCAGAAGUCUUCGACAUAAUGCCCAUAAUUUCCGCAAAGCUGAGUGUGCGUGUGACAGGUGCUGACAAGGCUGGAAAAGUAGGUGCCUCUUUGAUUUCUGAGAUCGACCCUCAUGGUCUCUGAGCAGCCCAGCUUUUGAGAAAGCAAGCGCCUCUUCGAUUUCUGAGAUCGGCCUUCGUGGUCUUUGAGCAACCCAGCUUUUGAGAAAGCAAACGCCUCUUCGGUUUCUGAGAUCAACCCUCGUGGUCUCUGAGAGUAAAGGUUGGGCAUGUUUGCUAGUCUACCUUGCCAUGAAGCACAUAGGUUGACACAUUCGGAGAGCGGUGUCUCUUCGAUUUUUGAGAAAGUAGUCAUGUUGGGAGUCUGGCUCUCGAGAUUCGGAGGACGGUGCCUCUUCGAUUUUGGAGCAAGCAAUCUUAUUGGGAGUGUUUUCUCAAAUGUGAGUAAAGGUUGGGCAUGUUUGCUAGUCUACCUUGCCACGAAGCACAGAGGUUGACACACAGGGACUUUCCAAUUAUCCAGCAGUGGUACUGUUCCUUUACCCUUAUGGGUAAUAAUAUGGUAGCUAGACCUUCAAAAUUUAUGUGUCUAAACUUUGUUAGUACUAUUUCUUUGCUAUUCUUUUACCCUUCUUGGUCAGAGCGAUGUAGUGGGAGCUGCAAGCUUCACGUGCUCAACUUUGGCAGAGAACUUUGGCAAAGUUAUCUGUGGUACCCAUGAGCUACUGUUGCGUGUGGGAAAUGGGUGAUUGAACAGUAAGAUUCAUGUGCUUUCUACUUCACCAGAAGUCUUCGACAGAAUGCCCAUAAUUUUCGCAAAGCUGAGUGUGCAUGUGACAGGUGCUGACAAGGUUGGAAAGGUAGGUGCCUCUUCGAUUUCUGAGAUCGGCCCUCGUGGUCUCUGAGCAGCCCAGCUUUUGAGAAAGCAAGCGCCUCUUCGAUUUCUGAGAUCAGCCUUCGUGGUCUUUGAGCAGCCCAGCUUUUGAAAAAGCAAACGCCUCUUCGAUUUCUGAGAUCAACCCUCGUGGUCUCUGAGCAGCCCAGCUUUUGAGAAAGCAAACGCCUCUUCGAUUUUUGAAGCUCCGUCGAGUGUAUAUUUUUAUAGGGGCUGGCAUUAAGUUCCAAAGCACACUUGAAUCUCCACCAGUAGAAGCUCCAUUCUUGUACUUCUAAGAUCUUGAUUUGUCCGACUUCUUCUCUCUUCAACACCUUUGAAAAUGUCUGGCCCCUCCGACCGUCGUUUUGACUUGAACCUUGUUGAAGAUGCAGCCCCGCCUUCUCAAGACAACAUAUGGCGCCCAUCCUUCGUCUCCCCUACUGGUCCUCUUACCGUUGGGGAUUCCGUGAUGAAGAAUGAUAUGACCGUUGCGGUGGUGGCCAGGAACCUUCUCACUCCCAAAGAUAACAGACUACUUUCCAAACGGUCUGAUGAGUUAGCUGUUAAGGAUUCUCUGGCUCUCAGUGUUCAGUAUGCAAGUUCUGUGUCUAAUAUGGCCCAACACCUAUUUGCUCGAACCCGUCAAGUUGAAUCAUUGGCGGCUGAAGUGAUGAGUCUCAAACAGGAGAUUAGAGGGCUCAAGCAUGAGAAUAAACAGUUGCACCGGCUCGCACAUGACUAUGCUACAAACAUGAAGAUGAAGCUUGACCAGAUGAAGGAAUCUGAUGGUCAGGUUUUACUUGAUCAUCAGAGAUUUGUGGGUUUGUUCCAAAGGCAUUUAUUGCCUUCGUCUUCUGGGGCUGUAUCGCGUAAUGAAGCUCUAAAUGAUCAACCUCUGAUGCCUCCUCCUUCUAGGGUUCUGUCCAGUACUGAGGCUCCGAAUGAUCCCCCUCCGGUGCCUUCUCUUUCUGGGGCUCUACCGACUGCUGAGACUUCUCCUAAGCAACCUUUGUGAAGGCUCCCUCUUGUUUGUUUAUUUUGACUCAUGUAUAUGUAUGUGUAGCUUAUCGGGGAUAUCAAUAAAUAAGCUUUCCUUCAUUUCAACAUAUUGUGUUAAAUACACCAAAGCCUUCUUCGCUAAGUUCUUUGAAUUUUCUUUUGUUGAAGCUUGUAUGUUGAAACUUUGUGAGUGGAUCAUGUAGGUUAAGGUAGUGUUCCCUUAUUUUCAUCAAUAUUGAUAUUUUAAACAAUGACAAUUCUUAGAAUACUGGAAUUCAUGUCAUUUUCAUAAACAAAUAAAUGGUUAAGAAAUGUAUAUAUUAGAAAAUUAAGAGCCAGAUUUAACUAAUAUUAAAUCGAUUUUAAAUCGGGUAGUAAAACAAAAUUAGGAAUCUGUGUCCUUUUCAUAAAUAAAUAAAUGGUUACAAAAUUUAUAUAUCAUAAAUUUAAAAGCCAGAAUUGACUUAUAUAAAAUCGAUUUUUAAUUGGGUAGAUGUAAUUUGUAAAACAAAAAUGUUUAAAAAACAAUUCUCUUAAAAAUGGUAUUCUGGUGCCAGGAUUCGAACCUGGAUGAAAACUCUUAACCGUAAGACUUUUUGUAGUGAGCAACAUCAGAUGAGUUGAUAGAUUAUGUAACGCCCCGCGCCCGAAAUAUUUAUUUUCAUAAAAUAAUUCCAAUGAUAAGCCUAAAUUAAAUUUUUUAUUUACAUUACAACCAAUAAUCACGAUUCCUUAUUUAAUUUUCUUAAUCCCUCACAAAAACUAUAACCCAUAAUUAACUUACCAAAACAUACGAUUAAAUUUUCAUAAUUUGUCACCAACUUCUACUCUUAAAACAACUUCCCAACUAAAGAUUAAAUCUCAAUUAUUAAGGCUACAUCUAACUCUUGUUAGACUGCCUACAUACCCUUUAGCGGGAUCAAGGCUUUCGUAGUUCAUAAAUCCGUUUAAAUCCAUUCUUAUAGCCGUUUCUGAAAAUAUUCUAGAAUUGGAAAUAUUCAACAUUAGCUUUCACAAUCGAAUCACAUCAAAUGAUUACCAAUUAUGGAUUUAAAUUGUCUAAAUUAGUAUUAAAAGGCAGCGUCGGCCCACUGGCCACGCGCCACCACGGGUGGCGAUCUCCAGUGAUCGGAAACCCCAAUUUCCGACAAACUCUACAAAUUACCAAAUUUUAUAGGGUUGUAGAGUUCAAUUAUAGGAACAACUUUCAUACUUGGGACGAAGUCCAAUUCGGCCAAGAAAAGCCCCAAUUUCACUCAAUUCCGUCUGAACCCUAGAAUUUGGGUGUCCUCAAUUAGUCAUCUCCCGUGCCCCGCCGCCCCAAACAAGGCUUGGUAGAUGUUCCUGGGUUCACAAGGAGUCUAACCAUGGUGGUAGUCAAUGGUGGUGGCUUCACAAACGGGAGAUCGCAGAAACGGACCCAUCGCACCCACCAAUGUAGGUUUCACUAAAUUAAAGCAUAUUUCCAUCGAAAUUGGGAUGGAAUUGGUGAAGGUAUCAAUUGGUAUCGAAGGGAGGGUUAUUUUUGGCACCGUUCCCAUCAUCAACGAUGGUCGGAAUAAAAAACAAUGGUCAGGUCGGGUCGGCGGGUUGAAGGAAGGUCUGGUUCCCUUCUCUCCUUUCCCUCCCUACCUCCCCCUCUGGUUGGUCCGUGUCUCUCGCCUUCUCUCCUUCCCUUUCCAUCACAGCCACACACGUGGCUUCUCAGAUCCUUGCUCCAGCAAAUCUGGAGCCUUUUAGAUAUUGGUCAAAUGACCAUUUUACUCCUAACUUCAAUUGUUAAUAACUUCUUCGUUAUAACUCCGUUUCAUGAACGGUUUUCGUCUACAUGUUCGUAGGGCCAUCCUUUAUCCAAAUAUAUCAAGAAAUCCGAUAAAAUAUAUGAGGAUAAAAUACAUCCUUGUAUAAUUACGUCAAACUAGUUAGGGCAUUUUCUUCUUUUCUACUUAACGAUAAAUUUUACUACGUAAAUUAUAAAAUUUCCGGAAACAAAACUUUAAAAGUUCACAAUUUUUUUUUCUUUCAUAACCAUAAAUUGAUUUAUUGUCGAUUUUUCUUCACAUAUUCAUAUAUUUAAAUUUUCAGGGUAUUACAGAUUAUGACAAAAUAAACCAUUUAAAUGUUCUCCUUACGUUAUGCAUUGCGCAUAUUGGAUAAACAAUUAGUGCACAUAAUGUGGUUAUCUGAUUUGUGGGGAAAGGUGAUGCUCACCGCUGACUUUUGGUUUAGAGACAGGCUCUCAAACUUAAAUAUAUCAGAUUUUGUUUGACAUUCGUAACAUAUUUUAAUAUUUUCACCGUUAUUGAUAUUUUAAACAAUGACAAUUCUUAGAAUACUGGAAUUCAUGUCCUUUUCAAUUUUCAUAAACAAAUAAAUGGUUAAGAAAUGUAUAUAUUAGAAAAUUAAGAGCUAGAAUUGACUAAUAUUAAAUCGAUUUUAAAUCGGGUAGUAAAACAAAAUUAGGAAUCCAUGUCCUUUUCAUAAAUAAAUAAAUGGUUAAGAAAUUUAUAUAUCAGAAAUUUAAAAACCAAAAUUGACUUAUAUAAAAUCGAUUUUUAAAUGGGUAGAUGUAAUUUGUAAAACAAUUUUUUUUUUAAAUAAUUCUCUUAUAAAUGGUAUUCCGGUGCCACGAUUCAAACCUGGAUGAAAACUCUUAACCGUAAAACUUUUUGUAUUGAGCAACACCGAACGAGUUGAUAGAUUAUGACGAAAUAAAAACAUAAUAAUUUCUUUCAAACUUAGUGAAUAACCUUCAGAAAAUAAAAACACCGAACGAGUUCAUAGAUUAUGACAAAUUAGUGGAUAAACACCUUCAGAAAAUAAAAACACCGAACGAGUUCAGCGGUGAGCAUCACCAUUCCCCACAAAUCAGAUAACCACAUUAUGCGCACAAAGAAUCAAUCAAAACAUAAUAAUUGAAUGAACGAGGAUUUCUUUCAUUUUUUCCAAAUUUUCUGAAGGUUUUUUCUAUAAGAACUUUUCUCUGACCAAUGCUUUCUAACAUUUCAUCAUUUUUUUUUAAAUUACACAAAUUCUUUGCAUACAUUGUUGUUAAAAAGAAAAUUUCUAUUAUUAAGGAGAGAGUUCGAAACUAUUGAAUUAUGGAAGAUGGACUUUUGAACUCGAGACACGGGUAGAAACCUAACACCUAUCCACUAGGACAUUAGAUCACCAGAGGUGGUCCUGGUUUUUUGGUGCCGACUGCCCAUGAACACUCAAAAUGUGCUUUUUUCCAGUACAACAUAAAUUAAACUGAAAGAUUUAAAAAGGGCUGGAGCCAGUCGAAGCUGUUGGGACAUUCUUCCAAAGAGGGAGAUGAAAUCGUUGAGGCUCUUACAGAUCCCACGUCACUGUCUUCAUUCAGCAGUUUUCCUCCAUCUACAUCAACAACUGCACGUUGCUCAAGAAGGUACUUCUAAAAAUUGAAAGUCAAACGAUAAAUUAUUAAGAAACAUUGAAUAUAAGCAUGAAACAAAGAAAAUGUUACGGAAUGGUGAUCCUCAUCCUCAAAGAUGAUUAAAAGCAAUUUGAUUCAAAAAUGACAUAUCAACUCUGGAGAAAUGGAAGACAAACAUGUGGUACCAUAUUCGCAACAGAGGUUAUGAAAGCUGAAAUCGAUUGUUCCUGUGUGCAUUGAUAAGUAAGACUACCGUAGAGAUUCACAACUAAGUAAAGACAGGUAUUCCACAGAACAACCCUGACCUCUUUGGAAACACAGAUCUAACAAAAACUAAAACAUUUUGGAUUAAUAUUGACUAAUCAAGAAUAAUGCAAGGGAGCAAAAGAGAUACUCUUCCUUCUAAUAACAAGAAGGCAUAAAAAGUAUACAGAGUUCCAACAAUUAGAGAACUUAAAUCAAACUAAAAAAAUCACCAAAGUAGACAGAAUUUCACUUCGCCAAAAAUUUGAAAAUAUAUCCUUUUUAUCCACUGAGAAUCAUAAACUACUACUACUACAUCAUGCCAAUAAGCAAUGCGUAAGAGGUGCUACAAUUUACCAAUAUAUUUACCCUGAGAACAAGUUUUGAAAUCAUCUCUAGUGUUAACAGCACCUUGCGUCCUUGGGUAAGCUGAGUCCUAGUAUCAAGUAAAGAGACCAAUCAGUACAUAUCCAAAAGAUCUUAAAUGCUUGUAAUACCAAAUAAGAAAGAAACAUGAGUAUAUCUUGAGUUAACCAUGCAAAAAUGUAAUGUUAAGGCAUCUUGUCAUACAGACCUCUUCAAGGUACCAGAAAUUUUUGCACUAAAGAUGUCACAAGCGGCUGAUAUGAAGCUGCAUUUUCUGUGAGUUGAGAUUUUGUCAAUAUAAUCGAUCACCUGAAGAGAGAGAGAGAGAGAGAGAGAGAGAGAGAGAGAAAGACAGUGAUAUCCAGAGAUGUGAGCCUAAAGGCUGAGUGUGUAAAAAAUAAGAUUAAAUGGAUAGCAAGAAUAUACAACUUUAAUGCCGAAAAGAACAUUAUAUGAUGCUCAUUCAUCAUUGCCAUUGAACGUGUACCUUCUUCUUUUCCUCUUUCUCAAAAGGAAGUAGACCCUUGAAGACUUGCCUAUAUGAUCCAUCAUCACAACCAGGCAAAGUCAUUUUAAUCAUAGCAACAAUGGCUCUAACUACCUGCCAUAAGAAACAUGCUACAUCAACAAGAUCACAGAGUGUACCAGAAACCGUAAUGUAGCAAAAUCUUAGAUAGAAUAGCUGGCCAAAAGGGAAUGGAAAAGCAAGCACAAAAAACAAUGAAAAGGACCAGUGAUGCCAAAAUUCAGGUGUUUAUAACUUUAAGUUCUACGUAGCAAAAACCACCUUAUGCACAACAAUAUUGGAAAAAUUAGAUACAUACAACUGAGAAGAUAGGUUUUCAUAAUCUGGACAAGUGCUAACUACCUUCUUCCUAUAAACUGCCACUCCAUGAACAUUAAAUGGUAUUUUCGUUUCACGCAAGGCUGUCUGGAAGACUUUUCCUGAUACCUGUAGUAUAAAAUACAAAAGAAAAUGUGACCAAAAUGUCUUAUAUGAUUCACCUCAUUCACAUUAGCACUAGGGCAAGCAAGCUUGACCUGCCUCCGGUAAAGGAUUGCUAUAUUUCCAUAGGAGCACCCUGCUUCUGACAGUUAGAUGCAGUCUCCAGGAUCUUGUCGACAACAAAGGCGCAUUAUGCAUCCUCAUUGUGACUUUCCUUGAUAAUUACCUACAUUUUGCCAGUAAAACCAGUGUCACUAACUAAAAAGACUGAAAAAUGACAUCAAAUUGUACUUGUUGGAGCAAGGAAAGAUUAGGUACAUUAGACCCAGAAGAAUUGUCGGUGUCAACAUUCUUUAGUUGGCAUCACUUCUUAUUGUUUUUUAUAACAGAAGAUGCAGCUUCCACAAUAUAGCGUGUGGACCGAUAGUUUUUAUUAAGCCUAAUCUGAACCAUAAAGUUAUGUCAAAUCCCACAGAACCCCAUAAAAUAAAACUUACUUUCCUGUAAUUAUACAAUAUAUUUGUUCUAUACUAUAUAUAAUGAAAAAAGACACUGAAUGACAUAAGAUAAACAUAGCAGUUAAGUGCGAAGGAACCUCUUUGUAAUUUGAAAAAUCUUUACAAAAAGAAUCAAAUCCAGAACUGUCCGCCCCGUUGAAACUGAAAAUGGACUGCAGCAGGAUAUAUGUUAUUUGAUUUAGAACAGAUAAGGGCUGGAUUAGAAUGAGCUGAGAGAGAGAGAGAGGGAGAGAGGGAGCAAUAAGAUUGGAUUUCCAUAAUAAAUCAACAACAUGCCUGAUCAUCAUCACCAACAAUGGUUAUGUGGUUAUGAGAGGCGAGAAUCCGCAAAAGACUAUACUGCAUAGCACUUGUGUCUUGAAACUCGUCUAUUACAAUAGCUUUCCAUGACUCCUGGCACUCCUCCGACACUAAUUAAGAGAACACCAUGUAUCAACAUUUAGCAUUACUUGUAAAACUAGAUAAAUCAAUUUAAUAUACUUAGAUGAUAGAGACCUUCAGGAAAAUCACUUAGCAGCUAAUUAAGUCAUGGUAGUCCAAAGCGUUGCACGAUUCCUAAGAAUUUCACCCUGAUUCAGAUUGAGAUCUAAAACUCAUAAGCAAUAGUUUCAGAGAACUGAAAUGAUAACUGAAAUUCUAGAACUGAAAUGAUAACUGAACAACAACAAAAACAACAACAAAGCCUUUUCCCACUAAGUGGGGUCGGCUAUAUGAAUCCUAGAACGCCAUUGCGCUCGGUUUUGUGUCAUGUCCUCCGUUAGAUCCAAGUACUCUAAGUCUUUUCUUAGAGUCUCUUCCAAAGUUUUCCUAGGUCUUCCUCUACCCCUUCGGCCUUGAACCUCUGUCCCGUAGUCACAUCUUCGAACCGGAGCGUCAGUAGGCCUUCUUUGCACAUGUCCAAAUCACCGGAACCGAUUUUCUCUCAUCUUUCCUUCAAUUUCGGCUACUACUACUUUACCUCGGAUAUCCUCAUUCCCAAUCUUAUCCUUUCUCGUGUGCCCACACAUCCCACGAAGCAUCCUCAUCUCCGCUACACCCAUUUUGUGUACGUGUUGAUGCUUCACCGCCCAACAUUCUGUGCCAUACAACAUCGCUGGCCUUAUUGCCGUCCUAUAAAAUUUUCCCUUGAGCUUCAGUGGCCUACGACGGUCACACAACACGCCGGAUGCACUCUUACACUUCAUCCAUCCAGCUUGUACUCUAUGGUUGAGAUCUCCAUUUAAUUCUCCGUUCUCUUGCAAGAUAGAUCCUAGGUAGCGGAAACGGUCGCUUUUUGUGAUCUUCGCUAGAUUGCUCCGGUCAUUAGUGUGGAAUGGAUAGUGAUAGGAAAGCAAACACAAGAUGUACGUGGUUCACCCAGAUUGGCUACGUCCACGGAAUAGAGUUCUCAUUAAUUGUGGAGGGUUUACACAAGUACAUAGGUUCAAGCUCUCCUUUAGUGAGUACAAGUGAAUAAUUUAGUACAAAUGACAUUAGGAAAUAUUGUGGGAGAAUGAUCUCGUAAUCACGAAACUUCUAAGUAUCGGAGUGUGGUAUCGUCUUGACUCGCCUUAUCUGUCUCAUAGGUAGAUGUGGCAUCUUCUCUGGAAGUACUCUUCCUCCAUCCAGAGGUGGUAUCUUUAACUGGUGGAGAUGCAGAAGGUAAUGUAUCAAUUUCACUUGAAGCUUACUUGUAGUUUCAGGCUUGGUCAAGCGCGAUACAAACCAUGUAGUAGGAGUCCCCCAAGUCGCCGAGCUAGGGGAUCUGCUGAAAGAGGUGACAGACAAGGUAAGCAAUCAGAGCUCCGGCUGAUUGUUCACAUUCUCCCUAUCUUGCAGGCAGCAUGAAGGAUAAAGAGAAGAAAAAUGAGAAAAGAUGAUAUGGGAUACUUUUGCUUUUGAAGAAGUAACUUUCCACAGGCUUAUUCUUGAACUGAGCUGGAGGGUUUUCUGGUUUCCUCCAGAGUAUAAGGCCGACUGAAGAAUUUGAGGGUCAAAACAAGUCCAUCAAAUCUAGAGUACGUUCGACCCUGCUGAUAUAGGAUACUUUUGCUUUUGACAGAGUAAUGGAUGUAUCGGCACGUGUGCUGUUACGCUUGUCUCCACAUGCUUCCUUGUAUCCUUCUCACUUGCCCUAUCUGUUCCUCAGGCAGAUGCGAUAUCUUCCCUGGAAGCAUAAGAUGUUGAAGAUGAGUACUCGAGAGCAAUGCCAGGUAAGUAAUCAGGUAAGGGGUUCCAGGCAAUCAGUUCCUAGCUGGAAGCUUGAUUCCAAGUGCUGAUUGAUUGCUCUCUUUCUCCUUGUCUUGCAGGUAAGAACAAGGUCAAAGGAAAAGACAGGGAAAAAGCAUGAUAUGGGAUACUCUUGCUUUUUAACCCUGAUGAUAUGAGAUAUUCUUGCUCUAGUAUAGCUUGUUUGCAGAGGUAUUAUCGGGGGGAAAGAAAGCUGAAUAUUUCGAAAGGCUUCGUUGGGAAUGCCCUCUCAGAUAUGAGGAAGGGUUGAGCAUUUUUGCAGGUCUGCCUGUCCGUUGGGGAUGGAGGUCGACAUAUAUAGGAGUCUCCCUAACAACAAGUAGUAAUGCUAUUCCUUUAACCUGCUUGGUCAUAGCACGGUAGUUGGAGCUGCCAGCUUCACAUGUUUUAACUUUGUCAGAGCACUUUGAAAAAGUUGUCUGUGGUAUCUGGAAAGCUGAUGUUGCAUGUGAAGAUUACAGACAAGCUUUAUCCAAGGAGAUCCGGCUCUUGAAGUUGGGAAAAUUGUGCCUCUUCGGUUUUCGAACAAGCAAUCCUAUCGGGGAUCUGGCUCUCGAGAUUCGGAGAACGAUGUCACUUCGAUUUUUGAGAAAGCAAUCAUGCUGGGGGUCUGGCUCUCGAGAUUCGAAGAGCGGUCUCUUCGAUUUUUGAGAAAGUAAUCAUGUUGGGAGUCUGGCUCUCGAGAUUCGGAGGACGGUGCCUCUUCGAUUUUGGAGCAAGCAAUCUUGUUGGGAGUGUUUUCUCGAAUGUGAGUAAAGGUUGGGCAUGUUUGUUAGUCUACCUUGCCACGAAGCAUAGAGGUUGACACACAGGGACUUUCCAAUUAUCCAGCAAUGGUACUGUUCCUUUACCCUCUCUUCGAUUUUUGAGAAAGUAGUCAUGUUGGGAGUCUGGCUCUCGAGAUUCGGAAGACGGUGCCUGUUCGAUUUUGGAGCAAGCAAUCUUGUAAUCUUGUUGGGAGUGUUUUCUCGAAUGUGAGUAAAGGUUGGGCAUGUUUGCUAGUCUACCUUGCCACGAAGCACAGAGGUUGACACACAGGGACUUUCCAAUUAUCCAGCAGUGGUACUAUUCCUUUACCCUUGUGGGUAAUAAUAUGGUAGCUAGACCUUCAAAAUUUAUGCGUCUAAACUUUUAGUUGUGUUUUCUUUGCUAUUCUUUUACCCUUCUUGGUCAAAGCGAUGUAGUGGGAGCUGCAAGCUUCACGUGCUCAACUUUGGCAGAGAACUUUGGCAAAGUUAUCUGUGGUACCCAUGAGCUACUGUUGCGUGUGGGAAGUGGGUGAUUGAACAGUAAGAUUCAUGUGCUUUCUACUUCACCAGAAUGCCCAUAAUUUCCGCAAAGCUGAGUGUGCGUGUGACAGGUGCUGACAAGGCUGGAAAAGUAGGUGCCUCUUCGAUUUCUGAGAUCGGCCCUCAUGGUCUCUGAGCAGCCCAGCUUUUGAGAAAGCAAGUGCCUCUUCGAUUUCUGAGAUCGGCCUUCGUGGUCUUUGAGCAUCCCAACUUUUGAGAAAGAAAACGCCUCUUCGAUUUCUGAGAUCAACCCUCGUGGUCUCUGAGAGUAAAGGUUGGACAAGUUUGCUAGUCUACCUUGCCAUGAAGCACAGAGGUUGACACACAGGGAAUUUCCAAUUAUCCAGCAAUGGUACUGUUCCUUUACCCUUAUGGGUAAUAAUAUGGUAGCUAGACCUUCAAAAUUUAUGUGUCUAAACUUUGUUAGUGCUGUUUCUUUGCUAUUCUUUUACCCUUCUUGGUCAGAACGAUGUAGUGGGAGCUGCAAGCUUCACGUGCUCAACUUUGGCAGAGAACUUUGGCAAAGUUAUCUGUGGUACCCAUGCGCUACUGUUGCGUGUGGGAAGUGGGUGAUUGAACAGUAAGAUUCAUGUGCUUUCUACUUCACCAGAAGUCUUCGACAAAAUGCCCAUAAUUUCCACAAAGCUGAGUGUGCGUGUAAUAGGUGCUGACAAGGCUGGAAAAGUAGGUGCCUCUUCGAUUUCUGAGAUCGGCCCUCGUGGUCUCUGAGCAGCCCAUCUUUUGAGAAAGCAAGCGUCUCUUUGAUUUCUGAGAUCGGCCUUCGUGGUCUUUGAACAGCCCAGCUUUUGAGAAAGCAAACUUCUCUUCGAUUUCUGAGAUCAACCCUCGUGGUCUCUGAGCAGCUCAGCUUUUGAGAAAGCAAACGCCUCUUCGAUUUUUGAGCAGACGCCUCUUCGAUUUCUGAAGCUCCGUCGAGUGCAGAUUUUUAUAGGGGCUGACAUUAAGUUCCAAAGCACACUUGAAUCUCCACCAGUAGAAGCUCCAUUCUUGCACUUCUAAGAUCUUGAUUUGUCCGACCUCUUCUCUCUUCAACACCUUUGAAAAUGUCUAGCCCCUCCGACCGUCGUUUUGACUUGAACCUUGUUGAAGAGGCAGCCCCGCCUUCUCCAGACAACAUAUGGCGCCCAUCCUUCGUCUCCCCUACUGGUCCUCUUACCGUUGGGGAUUCCGUGAUAAAGAAUAAUAUGACCGCUGCGGUGGUGGCCAGGAACCUUCUCACUCCCAAAGAUAACAGACUACUUUCCAAACGAUCUGAUGAGUUAGCUGUUAAGGAUUCUCUGGCUCUCAGUGUUCAGUGUGCAGGUUCUGUGUCUAAUAUGGCCCAACGCCUAUUUGCUCGAACCCGUUAAGUUGAAUCAUUGGCGGCUGAAGUGAUGAGUCUCAAACAGGAGAUUAGAGGGCUCAAGCAUGAGAAUAAACAGUUGCACCGGCUCGCACAUGACUAUGCUACAAACAUGAAGAGGAAGCUUGACCAGAUGAAGGAAUCUGAUGGUCAGGUUUUACUUGAUCAUCAAAGAUUUGUGGGUUUGUUCCAAAGGCAUUUAUUGCCUUCGUCUUCUGGGGCGGUACCGCGUAAUGAAGCUCCAAAUGAUCAACCUCUGAUGCCUCCUCCUUCUAGGGUUCUAUCCAGUACUGAGGCUCCGAAUGAUCCCCCUCCGGUGCCUUCUCUUUCUGGGGCUCUACCGACUGCGAGACUUGUCCUAAGCAACCUUUGUGAAGGCUCCCUCUAGUUUGUUUAUUUUGACUCAUGUAUAUGUACAUAUUUGUAGCCUAUCAGGGAUAUCAAUAAAUAAGUUUUCCUUCAUUUCAACAUAUUGUGUUAAAUACACCAAAGCCUUCUUCGCUAAGUUCUUUGAAUUUUCUUUUGUUGAAGCUUGUAUGUUGAAGCUUUGUGAGUGGAGCAUGUAGGUUGAGGUAGUGUUCCUUUAAUUUCCCGAGUGAGGAAAACUUCUCGGUUGGAGACUUGAAAAAUCCAAGUCACUGAGUGGGAUCGGCUAUAUGAAUCUUAGAACGCCAUUGUGCUCGGUCCCGUGUCAUGUCCUUCGUUAGAUCCAAGUACUCUUAAGUCUUUUCUUAGAGUCUCUUCCAAAGUUUUCCUAGGUCUUCCUCUACCACUUCGGCCCUGAACCUCUGUCCCAUAGUCGCAUCUUCUAAUCGGAGCGUCAGUAGGCCUUCUUUGCACAUGUCCAAACCACCAUAACCGAUUUUCUCUCAUCUUUCCUUCAAUUUCGGCUACUCCUACUUUACCCCGGAUAUCCUCAUUCCUAAUCUUAUCCUUUCUCGUGUGCUCACACAUCCAACGAAGCAUCCUCAUCUCCGCUACACCCAUUUUGUGUACGUGUUGAUGUUUCACCGCCCAACAUUCUGUGCCAUACAGCAUCGCCGGCCUUAUUGCAGUCCUAUAAAAUUUUCCCUUGAGCUUCAGUGGCAUACGGCGGUCACAUAACACGCCGAAUGCACUCUUCCACUUCAUCCAUCCAGCUUGUAUUCUAUGGUUGAUAUCUCCAUCUAAUUCUCCGUUCUUUUGCAAGAUAGAUCCUAGGUAACGAAAACGAUCGCUCUUUGGUAUUUCUUGAUCUCCGAUCCUCACCCCUAACUCGUUUUGGCCUCCAUUUGCACUGAACUUGCACUCCAUAUAUUCUGUCUUUGAUCGGCUUAGGCGAAGACCUUUAGAUUCCAACGCUUCUCUCCAAAGGUUAAGCUUUGCAUUUACCCCUUCCUGAGUUUCAUCUAUCAACACUAUAUCGUCUGCGAAAAGCAUACACCAAAGAAUAUCAUCUUGAAUAUGUCCUGUUAACUCAUCCAUUACCAACGCAAAAAGGUAAGGACUUAAGGAUGAGCCUUGAUGUAAUCCUACAGUUAUGGGAAAGCUUUCGGUUUGUCUUUCAUGAGUUCUUACAGCAGUCUUUGCUCCUUCAUACAUAUCUUUUAUAGCUUGGAUAUAUGCUACUCGUACUCCUUUCUUCUCUAAAAUCCUCCAAAGAAUGUCUCUUGGG